UUUGGUGGUGAUGGUGGUGGAGGUGGUGGGGACUUGUACUUGUAAGGGUGCUUGGGUGGUGAUGGUGGUGGAGGUGGUGGAGACUUGUACUUGUAAGGGUGCUUGGGUGGUGAUGGUGGUGGAGGUGGUGGAGACUUAUACUUGUAAACUGGAGAUGGUGGGGGUGGAGACUUGUACUUGUAAGGGUGCUUGGGUGGUGAUGGUGGUGGUGGUGGGGACUUGUACUUGUAAGGAUGCUUGGGUGGUGAUGGUGGUGGAGGUGGAGGAGACUUGUACUUGUAAGGAUGCUUGGGUGGUGAUGGUGGAGGAGGUGGUGGAGACUUAUAGUUGUAAACAGGAGUUGGUGGGGGAGGAGAUUUGUACUUGUAAGGCUUCUUGUGUGGUGGUGGUGGUGGAGAGUAGACCGGAGGAGGCGGUGGUGGAGACUUGUAAUGGUAAGGUGGUGGUGGGUACUUCUUAGGUGGUGGUGGAGGAGAAGAAUAAGUGUAAUCUGCUGAGGUUUCAAAAGGCAAAUUGAGAGACACUGCUAAAACUAAAAGAGUGAGAAAGAGAGAGGUCAUUGAUGACCCCAUUUUCCCCAUCCUUACUUCUAAAAAUGGGUUUAAUUUGGUUAUGCUCUUAGCAGCCCUCUUCACUCCCUUUAUAUAGACUUUGUUUUAAAGUUACAAUCAUGAUAAAAGUGUGAAGGUGGACCGAACCUUCAGCAGCAUUGAAAAAAGACGUUACGUUUAGGUUAUUAGCAUGGUAUGACAUAAUAAUUCUCUAUUCUCUUCCUUGUCGUUUCCCAUAAAUUUAAUUUAAAUAGUCCAUUUGCUAUAUUUAUAUUUCUGUUUCUCUAUUAAAUAUUUAUCAAAUUCAUUUCUCACUCCUUAUAGAAUAUGAAUAAUUAAUCAUUAAACUCGAUUUAGUAAAUACUUUAAAAAAUGAUUUAUCUUAUUUUUAUGCUUUAAUUAAGGCAUCAAAUCAUUAAUCCCAUUUGAUAUUAUGAAAAUUUAUCACUUAAUUGAUCAAAAUGUGAUUCUUGGCAGGAAAACAUAAUUUACUUUCCUUAAAAUGUAAUUUUUAUUGAGAGUUAUUUUUCCACUAACAAUAGAAAGUGAUUCUCUUUAUAAUUCGUGAAAAAAUUACUUUCACAUGUAAAUAAAAAUUGUUAGGAUAAAAUUAACUUUUCUUUUAUUUAUGUUAAGGUUACUAAUUAACUUAUUCAACUUUAAUAAAAGAUAAACAUAGUUGUAGCUUGUUUGUUGAUGUUAGUUUUUUGUCUUUACAACUUCAAACCAUUAUUCUAGUGUAAUUUUUUUUUCUUUCUAAAUAGUAGAUAAGUAUCUAUAUUUUAUUUUGCUAUAAGAAAAUUAUAUUUUUUAGCAUACAAAACUUAAGAUAACUUGUAGAAUCAAGUAGUUGUAUACCUAUUACUCUAGCAAUAAUAAUAUUGACAUUGUCUACUUUCAAAUUAAAAUUUCAAAUUAGUUCAUUGCCCAAUUUUCUCAUUAAAAAAAAUUAUAUAUAACAUGUCAACUUAACGAAACUUACAUGAAAUUUUGUAUGUGUUAAAAAUGAAAAAUAUGGCGGUUAUUAAAAAAGAUGUCAUACAUCUAAAUCAAACUACUAAUUUAAAAAUUAGUAUUGAGAUAAUUUCAAGCCAUAUAUGCAAUAUUUGAGUAUACUUGAACUUAUACAUACAAAUUAGUGAGGAUUAAAAUUUUGUAAAUUGUACAUCUUCACAAUCUUGCGUUAAUAUACAAUUUUUUUAAUGUAUUAAUAUAAUGUUUUAGAUCAAGACGUGAAAAAACAUAAUUCAAAUAUUUGUUAAUAGUAAAAAAUUAUUAAUAAAUAUUUAAUUCAAAAUUUAUUAAUAAUAAAAAUUAUUGAAAAAUAUUAAAUACGUUAAUAUUAUUUUUAUUUAAUAAUGAUACUUUUGUACAGUAAUCUUAUAUUCCCAAAUAAGUGUUAAAUGUGUCAAGAUUUUAAUCAAUACUUUCCGGUGAUUACCAAACGUUGUGAAGUAACUUCUUAAACAAUAAUAUUCUUAUCAAUCACAUUCCAUUAAAAUUUUAACAUAGAAAAGCACCAAAACGCCCCCUUAAAAUCGUGGUAAGUCUUGUUUGUCUAAAAUUUAAAUAUUUAUUUUAUUAUUUAAAAUAUAUUAAUUUUCUAAAAAAAAUCAUUAAUAUUUAUAUUUCUAAUUUUAAACAUUCUUUUGUUAAUUAAAUGAUAGUCUAAACGGUUAAACUCAAAUCGAAAGCAUUUUAUCUUAUAUUAGAUUAUAUGAAUCAUAUUAUGGUUGAAAGUAAAAUGUAUAAAAUCAAUACAAACAUCAAAUAUUAAACUUCCACUCAAUAGAUUUUAAAAUUUCUAAUUUUAUCACUAAUCUAUUUUAAGAUUUUUUUAAAAAAAAUCGUACUUUAGAUUAUCUAAUUUAAAAUUUUAUAAAAUUAUUAAAAAAUAUUCUUGUAAUAAAAAAAAUUUGUUUUAAAAUUUUUAAUUUUUUAUAUAACCAAUGAAUUUUUUACGUUUGUUUUAACUGGUUAUCUAAACAAAAUAAAAACUUAUUUAGUUUAAAUAAAGUGGUAAAUGUGAAAGCACCACAAAUCACAACUACAUUAGUUUUAUAAUUGGAUUAAUUUAAUCACCGGCAGAGGAAAUGUGUUAGUUCUAGCUACCAACAAUUCAUUUUAAUUCCUUUAAAAAUAUUAGAAAAAACCAAUUUGAUUUUUAAUAAUAGAUCUAAUUACUUAAAGGAACAUGGGUGAUGUGCACAUGGCAUACAAGCAUAAAAAAGAACAAAAAGAUUAAGUAUCUUUGCAAAAUAUCUCUCUCUGAAAUAAAUAAAACUUAAAAAAAAACAAUUUUAUUAUCAAAAUAAAAAGAAAAUAGUGUUUUUCUUCACAAAAAAAGAAAAGAAAAGAAAUACUAGUGUUUUUAAUUAAAAUAGAGUGAUCUGGGUAGAAUCUUUUACUUAAAUACUGACAUUGACUUUAUAAGCUAUUUUUUAUCAAAAGAAGAAAGAGAAAAGCAUCCGAUUGAAGAUGUGAAUUAUUAAGUUAAAAUUAAUCAUACAUGUAAAAUAUUAUUGUGCUUUUUUCUAGCCCUCCGAAAGACAUUAUGCUUUGAUUACAACAUUCUUCCUCAGAGAUGAGGUUUGAAGAUGAACUCGGAUGCAUUUAGAUUUUUACAAGACGAAAGUAAAUUAAAGGAUGUUAGUACUUGUAUUCCGAUACGCUUAUAAUACAGAAAGCAAGUAAUAUGUGACUGUACAUAAUGGCUAUGAGGCGAGGAUAUGAUACGAGAAGAUAGAGAUGAGAGAUUGCACUUAAGGGGUUAGCACCUCUUUUCUUUUUGUGUUUGGUCCCCAAAGCAUAUCUCUUAUUGGCUGAUGUUGCAAGGCGGUCCCAUAAGUUGGGCUAAAAGUGCUUGAUAGCUAGAAUUAAUAUUGUGGUAUAACAUAUGUCACCCCUAUAUUUGAAUAAGGUUACAAAGUGACUACUUGAAGAUUUAAAAAAGCAUGGAGAUAAUUUUGUUGCGAAAAUUAAAAGUAAGAGCUAAAUUGUUUGGCUUUAUUAGAGUAUAGACUCUGUUAGUCUAUUAUCAUUUUGUUAUAUAGGCUGGAAUAUUAUUAGUAAGCAGUUAGCAGCAGUUAGUCAUACAAGUAUAAAUUCUAUUCAUGUAUUGUUCAAAGAUAAGCUAAUAAUACCAGAAGAGAUUUAACAUGUUCAUUCUACUUUUUUUUGUUAUUCUUCAUAAUACAGUUGUUAACAUGGUCUCAGUCGCCAAAUUUCUUGGAGGUUGCUUCUAUUGUAGAUCCAUGGCCAAUUCCACUGAUUCUACCUUCGCUGGUCGUAGCAGUCCCUCAUUCUCAGUUCAUGUUUGGUUCAAUCGUUUCCUCGUCAUGGCACUGUGAAGUUAGAUGAAGGAAAUUUUGUACAAUGGCAACAGCAUAUCCAAUUGAUAAUUGAAGGAUAUGAACUCAUAAGAUUUUUAGAAGGGACGUUACCUGCUCCGCCUCGCUUUGUGUCAUCUCCGGAUGGAAACUUAGCUCUGACUCCCGAUGCAUCCCUGUUUGUUCAGCAAGAUAAGUUACUCGCUUAUUGGUUACUUUUUACGAUUAGUGCUCCUUUGUUUUCUUGUUUUACAACUGCUAAGACGGCGUGUGAGGUUUGGAGCACUGCGAAUUGCCUAUUUGCUGCUGCCACUAGAGCCAAGCUUUCGCGUAUUAAGCAUGAACUCCAGUCCAUCACGAAAGGCGUGAUGACUAUCAAAGAGUAUAUUGCUAAGAUUCAAAAUACUUGUGCGUUACUCGAGGAAUCUAGAUCAGUGGUUUUAAAGGCUGAAAAGGUAGAGAUCAUUCUUGCCGGCCUAUUGUCUGAUUAUGAUGUCGUUUUAACUCUGGCAUCGUUCUCAACUGAAACUUUUUCGUUAUAAAAGAUUGUUGAUAUGCUUCUGGAGUUCGAAAGCCAUCAGACUCAAGCGGUGAACGACGUACCUUUUCAUGCUCAUUUGGUAGAGGCCACUUCGGCGACAUCCGUGGAGGACUCCGUACGUGGUGGUCGUCCUCCUUCUGGUGCUCGUAGGCGCGACUUUCGAUCUCAGCUUCAGUGCCAGGACUAUGGUUGCUAUGGACAUUUGGUACAAUGCUGUUAUUAUCAGUUCAACCGCGACUACAGUGAUCUGUCUGUUUUGACCAUGGCGCGGGUUUCGCCUGUUCAUGCUGAUCACAAUUAGCAUAACGAUGUUUUUGGCGCAAGUGGUCUCUCGACUAGCUGGUUUUCAUCAACUUGUCCUGGUCCGGACCCGUUCGUGCCUGGACAGUAUGUCGAUUCUUUGGUGGUGACACCGGCGUAUUUCUCUUAUGGCUCAUCAUGGUGAGGGUGGCCACAUUUGCAAAACAAUGCCUCCCUUGUGCCAAGUUUGUUGAAUGUUAAGGUUUCUAACCCUUUUGCUCAUAAUUUUGACGAUGGGGCAGGCUAGGUGUUUGGGCUCGCUGUUGGACCAAGCUCAAAUUGUGGCCAAUUUGGUGGUCCUCACUUACCGCGGAGAAUGGGCCAGCACGUUAGGCCAUUUGCUAGUGUUCCUAGGCCGACUGGUUCAGGCCAAGAUUUUGGGCCAUAUGGAAUUCGUAGGCUAACCAGUGCUGGUCCUAACAUUGGACAGGGUUCACUUGGGCCAAAUGUUAAUUUUGUUAGACUUGAGGGCUCUUUUGGGCAUGGACAAGGACUUUGGCCCACCACUGGCAAUGUUUCAGUGCCAAAUAAUGGGUCAUGCGUUCCAUGGCGCACUAAACUGACGGCGCACAUUAUUGAUUGAUUUCUCACUGUGUGUUGGGUUGCCUCACAUUCUUGAUUUUCAUGUGUCUGAUAUUUUUACUACCUCUGGGUCCAAUGCUAACACGACUCCGUAUGGGUCUAAUUUUGAUAAUGAUAACUCUUACAUUCCUAUGCCUGUAGGGACCUUGUCCUGGUGUCUUAAUUCAGGGUCUAUACAUCAUGUCUAUCGAGAAGCCUCUACCUUGAACGAGUCUACGCCAUACUCAGGUACAUCUCCUCUCCUCAUGGAUGAUAUUACUCCUACAAAAAUAUCAUGUGUUGGAAACUCUAUCUUGCCUACGAAGACUAAGCUGUUUCAUCUAUCUAAUGUUUUGUGUGUGCCAAAUAUACGGAAGAAUCUGCUAUCUGUCUCUCAAUUUGCUAAUGACAAUAAUAUGGUCUUUGAAUUUCACCCGUCUUAUUGAGGACAUCCAGACUCAGGAAAUUUUGCUUCGGGGCCACACUCGUGAUGGGCUCUAUUAUUUUUCGUAGGUUACUCAUGUUCCGUCUGUCGUUGUUCCUUCUGUUCACAACACUGGGCUCCAGAGUCGCAAUGCCGGUGAUGAUGUUUUUACGUUAUGGCACUACAGACUUGGUCAUCCGUCUGCCUCGAUUGUUAAACUUGUUCUCGAUAAGUGUCAAGUUGUUUCAACUAAAAUGUACCUUGAAAAUAUUUGUAUUGCUUGUCAAAAGGGGAAGUCCCAUAAACUGUCUUUUUCAAGUUCUACUACUAAAUAUACGGAUUUGUUUGAAUUGGUUGUCUUUGACUUAUGUGGACUGGCAUCUGUUGUCUGUAGAAAUAAUCUGUAUCAUGUUUCGUUUAUCGACAUGUGUAGUUAUUUUACUUGGAUUUAUCUCAUUAAACGUAAUUCUAAGGAGGUUGAAUGUUUUCUUCAGUUUCAGAAAAUGGUCAAAACUCAGUUUGGGAAAGAUAUUAAAAAAAUUCAAAGUGAUUGGGGUGGUGAGUUUCUUGCCUUUACGUCAGUUCUGGCUAGUCAUGGGAUACUUCAUCACCUCUCCUGUCCAUAUACAUCCGAGUAGAACGAUGUAGCUGAACGAAAACAUCGACACAUUGUUGAGAUGAGUCUUAUUCUAUUGGCCAAAGCUAACCUAUCCAUGGAUUUCUGUGGUUUCGUAUUUUACAAUGCCAUUCAUCUCAUUAGUCUUCUACCGACCCUAGUUCUGAAAGGUCAGUCUCCAUAUCAGGUUCUUCAUGGUAGUGACCCUACAUAUGAUCAUUUACAAGUAUUUAAGUGUUGUUGAUUUUCGUACCUGCGUCUGUUUCUGCAACACAAGUUGGAUUUUCAUUCUCAGCCAUGCAUAUUUUUUAGGUAUAGUUCUCAACAUAAAGGCUAUCACUGCCUCACACCAAAUGGUAAGGUCAUUGUCUCUCGUCAUGUUGUGUUUGAUGAACGUUGGUUUUUCUUUUCUUCAAAUGCUGUGAACACCGUUCAGUUAAGUCCAUGUAUCUCUACAUAUGUUCCUAUUGUUCGGUCUUCAUCUUGCCGCCCCACGACAUCUUCGCUUGUUCGACCCACUGAGUCAUCGACUCUUGCUCCUAAUUGUAGUUCCACGCUGUCUGUUUCAGUUGACACUCCGGCUGAAUUAGGUUUUACUCAUGAGGUGCAUCGGCUCUCUACCUCAUCCCUUGAAUCUCGUCAAUGCGAUCCAACUACAAUUCCAUUGGCUGUUCCAUCUAUUUCUCUGGAAUACUCAUAACACUAUUACUCAGCUAGACCCAAAGCUCUGUCUGUUGAAAUUGUCAACUGUGAGUCGAUCACGAUUGAAGAGGCGCUCGCUAGUAAGGAAUGGCAAUUAGUUGUCCAAGCUGAGUUUGUUGCUAUAAUGGUUAACUCCACUUGGGAGCUUGUUCCCUUACCUCAUGGUCGAAAAGUGAUUAGGUGUAAGUGGCUUUUUAAAAUAAAAAAAUCCUGAUGGGACUAUCACUUGACGUAAGGCUCGGUUGGAAGCAAAGGGUUGUUCUCAGGUACUCAGGUGUGAUUUCAAGGAAACCUUUAGUUUGGUAGUUAAACCUGCUACUAUUAGAACCAUAUUAUCUGUUGCUAUCUCCAACGGUUGGCAAUUUGGUCAGGUAGAUGUGAACAAUGCUUUUUUAAAUGGUGAUCUUAUUGACGAAGUGUUCAUGCAGCAACCUCUAGGCUAUGUUCAGAUUGGUCAAAAUGGUGAGCCCUUGGUGUAUCAUUUGACAAAGGUGUUGUACAGAUUAAGACAAGCUCCACGUGCUUGGUUUGAUAAAUUGAAACGUUUUUUUGUUUCUAUUGGAUUUGCUUUAUCCAAAUCUGAUGUAUCCUUAUUUGUUCAAGUUAAUUCGAAUCCACUAUUUAUGUUUUAGUCUAUAUGGAUGAUAUUAUCGUUACUAGAAGUACGAUCGACGGUAUAAAUGGCUGUAUUCAAUAGUUACAUAAUGUGUUUCCCUUAAAGAUAUGGGAGAUCUUUACUACUUCUUAGGCAUUGAAGUCACUCGGUAGUCCACUGGGAGUCUCCAUUUGUGCCAACGCAAAUACAUUCGGGAUCUUCUUGACAGUAGUUUUUUAGCUAAUGCAAAGAGUGUUCACACACCGAUGGUUAGUUCUUUUACGUUGUUUAAAGAUGUGGGAGAUCGCCUCGUUGAUCCUACUGGAUAUAGAAGUCUUGUCGGUGUAUUACAAUAUGUGGUCUUGACUCUGCCUGAUAUUGCUUAUGCUAUAAAUCAUGUUUGUCAAUUCAUGCAUGCCCCUACUACAGUACAUUUGGUGGCUUUGAAAAGAAUCUUGCACUAUUUAUGUGACACUAUUAAUCAUGGGUUAAUUUUGUCUGUUCAACAUAUUGUCUUUAGUUGGCUAUGCUAAUGCCAACUGGGGACUGGAUUUUGAUGAUCGUAAAUCAACAACAAGCUAUUGUUUGUAUUUUGGGUAUACACCCAUCUCUUGGUGAUCUAAGAGACAACUCUACUGCGUGAGGCGAAGUAUUUUGGCCGCACCAUGGCUGAGGUGAAGUAUCGAAGUCUAGCAACAACUACCAGUGAUGUUACUUGGUUAGUCUCUCUACUAACAAAAUUACAGAUUCAUUCUAUAGAUCCACAUACUAUUUGGCGUGACAACUCUAAUGCAGUAGCGGUCAUUGCUAAUCCGGUCUGACACUCUAAAUUUAAACAUGCCAAGCUUGAUCUAUUUUUUGUUCGCGAAAAGGUCGCUAAUGGUUCUCUCGUUGUCGGUGAGAUUCUAGCAUGUGAUUAAGUUGCUGACAUUCUCACAAAACCACUGUUCGUCUCUACUUUUGCUAGGUUUCGUAGUCUGCUUCAAUUCUUACCUCUUGAGAAGCUGGGUGAAGCCAGGUGAAUAUUAGAGUAUAGACUCUGUUAGUCUGUUACCAUUUUGUUAUUCAGGCUGGAAUAUUGUUAGUAAGCAGUUAGUCAUAGCAGUUAGUCAUACAAUUAUAAAUUCUAUUCAUGUAUUGUUCAAAGGUAAGCUAAUAAUACCAAAAGAGAUUUAAUGUGCUCAUUCUACUUUCUUUGUUAUUCUUCAUAAUACAGUUGUUAACAUGCUUGAUAUCAUCUCUUAGAGAGAACGAGGAGAGAUAAGAGUAAGAGUAUGAGCCAACUAGGGAUAAGGCUCUACCAUAAUACCUUGGAUGCAAUUAAAGUAAGAGUAAGAGCCAACUUGUUUGGCUUGAUAGCAUCCCCUUAUAGAAAAGGCUCUACCGCAUGGCAUGAGAGCAAUAAAAGUAACACUCAAUUUCUUGGGUUGAUAGCAUCUCCUUAGGGAAAAGGGUUUACCAUGUGACAUGAAAGCAAUUAAAGUAAGAGUAAGAUCCAACUUGUUUGUCUUAAUAGCAUCAUUUAAGAGAAAUAUCCCAAUCAAUUUAUUCAAAUAUGUUAAUCAAAUAAUGCAAGUUACAAUGUUCUGUCAGUUUUUCCUUUAAUUGUAACUGGGUUAAAGUUGGUAGUUGUAACUGCUACUAAUAGAAUGGAUACGGUAGAAAUGGUUGCAAGCAACAUAAGCAAAGAUGACUUUAAUGUCUUUGUAUUGACCACGUGAGAACUAUAGAAUGCAGAGAAUAGUAUGGUGAUUGGCAACAGAAUGCUACUAACCUUGAGGAUAGUAGACAGGGAUGGAUCCACGGGGGUUGGGGGCGGUCCCCCCUUGGAAUUUUUAAAAUUUUAAAUUUUAUAUAUAAAUUAUCAUGUAUUUUAAAUUUGGUGUCCACAUUGUAUAGCAUUCACCCCCCUUUUCCAAAUUGCAUUUCAUAUCAUUUGCCCUCUUAAGCCAUAAGGUUAUACUUUAUAUUAACAAAGUAUUUUCCAUUUUUUAAUUAUAUAAAUUUAAUAAUAAUAAUAAUAAUCAAAUAUUAAUAUAUGAUUGGCAUUGAAAGACUAAACAUAAAGGUCCAGUUGAGACUUUAAAGCCAAAUUCCAUAAUUAAUUAAUUGAUUUGGCCCAUACCAGUACAUAUUAGGUUAGCGAAAUUCUUGUAUUUUGAUUUGUAUGUCUUGCUAAGGAAUUAUCUUCCUUUGGUAAGGUGUUGACACUGCCAAGAGAAAAAGAAAGGAUUUUGAUGUCGAGAUUGUGAGCAUAGAGUAAAAAAAAUACAAAUUAUCUUCCUCUUAGCUCCUUAUGGAAAAAACCUCUCGGUAAAUAUUUUUGCAUAAAUUAUGUUUUUUAUUAAUUUGACUUAGUUUUUUUCUUUUUUCCUAAUACAUUGUUGUUUAAUAUAUUCUUACAAUCAUCAGGUUUUUUGACUAAAUUAUGGUCAAUAAAAACAUCGAAUCUAUUUAAAAAAAAAGAGUGUCAGAAAGCAAUAAUGAUCAACCGGUUCCUCAACCUUCCAUUAUUAGUGAAGAAAAAUCAAAUAUCGGAUCUUCCAAAGCUCUUGAACAAAAUAUCAGGUCUUCUUAAGCCCAAGCUCCUAAAUGCGGUAUGGAGUCUUCCCCAACUCCUGAACGAGAUUGUAACAAUCCAUACCCAAUUCGAUCACCAAAUCCAAGUAGAGAGCGCCGCAACUUAAACCAUAUGAAUUGAAUAAUAAAUAUUUGAAAUUUAUUAAAGUAUCGAGUUCUUGGUGUAACCCUCAGUAUAACAAUACGAAACAAUUAAAUCAAUGAUACGCCAGGAAAAAAUGUUUUUAGGCAAAACACAUGGCGGAAGCCUUACAAAAUUUUAUAAGUUUAUAUAAAAUGUAAGAUGAGUUAAUCCCAUACAACAGUUUCAAGUGCAUCGUUGGCGGUUAAAAGAACAUUCAAAAACUAUUCGGCGUAUAUGCCAAUGAGACAAUCACGUGGAACAAGAUAUAGUAGCUUAAACACAUACAUCACUUACCACGUCAUCAUAACAUAUACUAACCAUAUAAACAAACUUAUCGAGCUGCGAACUAACAAGUUCACCCAAACAUCUAGGGUUAGCGAUAACUUAUUAGAAGAGCCCGCCAAACCCUAGAGUUCGCCAAAACCUGGAGUUCACCAAAUGGCGACUCCCAUAGAAUACGCCAAACACACAACCAAAAAUAAAUACUCUACUAAUUUACUCAUUUUAUAUUCUUAGCAUAAACAACUAUGCACCAAACAGUAACUUGAUACAUUAUCUUUCGGGCGAGUUGUUACAAUUCUCCCCCAUUUAGAAACUUUUGUCCUUGAAAUUCUUACCGGUGAAUAACUGAGGAUAUUGUUCUUUCAUCGAACUCUCUCUUUCCCAAAUGGCUUCUUUUGUAUUGUGAUUUAUCUAUAAUACAUUAACCAAAGGAAUUCUUUUACUUCUCAACUCUUUUACUUCCCUUGCUAAAAUACAAACAGGUUCUUCUUCAUAGGACAAGUUUUGCUCCACUUCCAGUGCUUUGACUUGUACCACAUAAUCUGGAUUGGAUUGAUAUUUUCUUAACAUAGAUAUAUUAAACACAUUAUGUAUAUUUGAUAACUCUGGUGGCAACACCAGUUUGUAUGCCACUGGACCAACUUAUUCCAAAAUCUCAUAUGGUUCUAUGAAAUGCAGACUUAAUUUCCCUUUUUGUUCAAACCUUAUGAUCUUCUUCCAAAGAGAAAACUUCAUAAAUGCAUUGUCACCCACUUCGAAAGAGAUUAUUUUCCUUUUUAGAUCAGCAUAAGCUUUCUGGCGAUCUUAAGUUACUUUCAGAUGAUUUCUAAUGAUAAAGACUUUCUCUUCUGUUUCUCAUACUAAAUCAAGACCAACUAUUUUCCUUUUACUGAGUCUCAUCCAAUAGGUAGGAGAUCUGCACCUUCGUCUAUACAAAGCUCCAAAUGGUAACAUUCCCAGACUGUCAUAAUAACUAUUAUUAUACGCAAACUCUAGCAAAGGAAGAUAUCUUUCUCAAUUCAUUCUAAAAUCUAUAAUACAACCUCUAAACAUGUCUUCUAGAACUUGAAAUACUCUUUCAAAUUGCUCAUCGAAUUAGGGAUGAAAGGUAGUACAGAAUCAUUAUUUCGUUCCCAACGAUUCUUGCAGUUGUCUCCAAAAUCUCAAUGUAAACAUUGGGUCUCGAUCUGAAACUAUGGAUGUUGGAAUCCCAUGAGGCGUACAACUUCAGAAACGUAGAGAUUAGCCAACUUUUCCAAUAAGUAAUUUGUGCGGACAAACAAGAUAUGGGCUAACUUAGUAAGUCGAUCUACAAUUACCUAGACUGAGUACUUCUUCGAAAGGAUGAGAGGGAGAGCCAAAACAAAAUCCAUGGUGAUCUUAUCCCACUUCCACAUAGAUAUCUCUAAAAGGUACAACUUGCCUAAGGGAACCUGAUGUUCUAUUUUAAUCUGCUGACAUGUCAAACAAAUGGAAAUGUACUUUGUUAUUUCUUUCUUCAUUUCAAGUCAGUAAUACAAACUUAUCAAAUUAUGAUACAUUUUAUGUAAAACUCUCAACCCAACUCGAAAUGUCGAGUCUGGAUCUCGGGUAUUACUAUACAUAAUACUUGGCAAAAUAUCAAAAUAGUUGACAAAUACUCUUUAUAGAAAACAUUUUCUUAUUAUUUUAACCAAAAGACUAAAUAUUUAAUAACAAGAGAAAAUAUUAAAAACAAAAAAAAAUUAUUACAUCAGACUUGGUACAACUCAUUAUAGUAUAAAAUUUUGUUAAAGACAUACUCUUGGGGCAUAACCCUAAUCUAAGCCACUUUUCCACUAUAUGCAUAAUAACCCACUUCGCCACUAUCUUGGCGUACUCCUAGCAUCGUCACUCCUAAUGCAUUCUCUACCCAUACACCUGAAAACAACAACAUUUUAAGCUUAAGAUAACUUAGUGACUUUUAUCCCAAAAAUACCUUGGCGAGUACUUUAUAUUAUUUGAAGAACAUUUGUGCGCCAUCUAUCCUUCUGAACCACCUUCUUCUGAAUUAAGUGGAUACUAUUAUAGAUUCAACUUUCACUUACACGCCAACUAUCAUACUCUUAACAAACUCACUUAUUCUAGAAUAGUUGUUCACAUAUAUUAAUCACUAAUUGAUACAUUCAUAUUUGGCGAAUACUUACGCAGAUCUGAAUACCAUCAAACUACUAAUCAAAUCAUACCUUGAUCCGAUACCAUACAAACUCAUACUGAUAAUGUACUACACAAAUUAUUCAAAUGAAUUUUCCACUACUUUGUUACAGGACCCCAGAUAAUCAUCAUAACAAUAACUCAAUUUUCAUAUGAUUUCAGAAGAAGAUAUAAUACAACCCAAAUACGGCAAAUUCCAGAUAACUCAGAUUCAACAACUGCUUAACACAUACGAACUCACAUUUAUAAUUUCUUAUGUCCCACAUAACUACGACUAUGUCUAUAUUCAACACUAACAAAUAAUCAUGACGGAUACCCUUCUUAUACAUAUAUGCAUUUCUUUUCUAGAAAUCUCUUAAGACUUACUCAAUUAUAUCACAUAUCUUAUUCAACCCUUAACUUUAGACAUAUCAUAACCCUAUCAUAUCAAUAUCUAUCACAAAAAAAAUCAGGAUUUAUCCAAAACUUACCAUAAAGGUAGAUAAUCAUAUUAUAUCAGACAAACUUAACUAAAUGUGCCACAAAGGCCAAACAAAAUAUGCCUUAAAGGCUUCAUACAAAAUCACGUGUUUACUAUCCCGACGGACUAUCACAAAAGGUGUCAUGGGUUUCUCCCACAUGGACUUAUACAUAAUUUCAUGUAUUGUGAUCUGCCAUUUUGAAUCAUACGUUAUCGAAGGAUACUCCAUAAGCAUACAUACAGACAUAUCUUGCCAUGUGUCUCAGCCACAUGGCUUAAACACACAUUCAUGUACUGUGAUAUGUCAAUCCAGUCUUACUCUUAUUAGAGCCUACACCAUGAGUGUUUUCAAAUCAUAUUAAGAUGUUGUAGGUCUCAACCUCAUAGUCUUACACUUGUUUUCAUAUCGUGACCUGCCAGUCUAGUUAGCAAUAUAAUUGCCUACCAGAGGCUUCAUAGAGGAACAUUUGCUUAGAUUCACUUACCUAGAUGAUCUGUAACACCCCUUACCCGAGACCGUUGUCAGAGUCGAGCACGAGGUAUUACUUAUCUUAUCUUACUAACUCGAAGCAUAAAAACUUGUUUUAAAAAUUAAUUUCACUAUUUAUAGCAAUUUGUCCAAUCGCGCAGCAGUUACUAAAUUAAUUAUAACUCGAGAUACGGAACUUGAAAUUUAACUCCGUAAAUUUUCCCUGAAACUAGACUCAUAUAUCUUCCUACCAUAAAAAUUUUAGGAUUUUUAGUUUAUCAAAUUAGUACAGUUUAUUAGUUAAAUUCUCCCCUGUUUCACAAAUCGACUGCCCUGACCUCUUAUCACUAAAAAUAAAAUGUAUCAUUGUGGGAUUUUCGUAUAGUGCUACCGCUUGCUUCUACAGAAAAUAGACUCAAUAAGGAAUCUAUACAUAUAAACUACAACUCAUAAAUAUUUUUUUAAAAUUUUUAAUGAUUUUAUAAACUCAAAACAGGGGUCACCAAAAACUGUUCUAACCCUGUCUCACCAAAAUUCACAUAUCUUAAAAUAUAAAUUCCUUUUGCUACACCGUUAUUUUUAUGUGAAAAUAGACUCAACAAGAUUUAUGUCAUUCAAUAUUUAAUUCAUUUUAUACUAUCCUAGGUGAUUUUUCAAAGUCACGUCACUGUUGCUGCCUGAAUUCUGUUUCUUUGCAAAAUUUUACCCUUUUAUGAUUUCCAUGCAUAGUUUAUCACUUAGACUCUUAUAACAACAAACACUUCCAUACUUAACCAUUUUAGCAACCAUUCAUCAUCAAAUACUUACACAUCAUUCUUUAGCAAGAUCAUAAAUACAAACAUUUAAAAUAACUAAAUCCCUUUACAUUCCAUACUCAACAUGGUUCAACAUAAAAAUACCGAGUUGCUGUGGUUGAUAGUGUGGACGAUCUCCGACUUCUUUAGGAUCCUUGAAGUAACCUUGCAAUACUAUAAGAGAAAGAGAAAUAAAAGACGUAAGCAUAAAGCUUAGUAAGUUUACUAGCAAAUAAAUAACAAUAUUUAACUAGAUAAUUAAACUCAAGUGUCUAUAUCUCUAGUUUACUAUUUAGUUAAUCUCAUUCUAGUUCUCUUGCUUGUUUACUUAGUAUACUUGUGUGCAUAACUUACUCCUCUCUUGCUGUAUAGUUGAAUAUCAAUUGAUAAUAUAAUAAGUUAUUAACUCUUAUAACUUACCUGAACUUGCCAUUUAUGUUUUUAACUGAACUUUCCUGAACAUGAUUCGUUAUUUAGCCCGUUGAGCUACAUUGGAACAAUAAGGAUACUCGGGUCUCUUCUGAUAAUAACAUGCCAAAGCCAUGUCCCAGACAUGGUCUUACAUGGGAUGUACUCAUGUCGGUGCCCAUUCCAUAUCCCAGACAUGGUCUUACGGGGGACCUCUCAUCUCGGUGCCAAUGCCAUGUCCCAGACAUGGUCUUACAUGGGACCUCUCAUCUCGGUGCCAACGCCAUGUCCCAGACAUGGUCUUACAUGGGACCUCUCAUCUCGGUGCCAACGCCAUGUCCCAGACAUGGUCUUACAUGGGACCUCUUUACCCAAAUGUCAUGACAUUCGUAUCCAGUACCAUCCUUACUAUUCAUGACAACCGAUAUAUAUAUAUACAUACUCACUAUUCACAAGGACUCGAACGAUUAUAUACUCAUCAACCACCUUAAAACAAUGUUCAUAAACUUAUCCAUUUCAUAUAAACAAAAGCAUAUAUAUUUAUAACCAAUGCAUAGAAUCACUUAAUUUAAACAGAUUCACUGGCACUUCACCUGAUAGGCUUAUAGUUUAAUUCAGUUCACCGGCACUUAGCCUACUAGGCUUGUAGCCUGAUUCAGUUCACCGGCACUUAGCCUGCUAGACGUAUAGUCCGAUUCAAUUCACCGGCAUUUAGCCUGCUAGACGUAUAGUCUGAUUCAAUUUACCGGCACUUAGCCUGCUAGACGUAUAGUCUGAAUAAUUUUACUGGUAAUAAAUCCGAUAGUAAUUUCUCCGUUGAAAUUGAAUUAUAUUCAAUUCUGCGUAACAAACAUGCACUUAAAACAUACUUGCAUAAUUCACAACAAUAAUUUCAGUCCAAAGAGCUGUAAUUCAUAUUCGAACUAUAUAUAUAUAAAUCCAUACAUAAAAAUUCAACUCAAAAUUUAUAACCUAUAUCUUUGAACCACAUAGGUACAUGAAAUUCAAACACCAAAAUCCAGCUCAAUAACUUCAUGAUUCAACCUAACAAAUUUAUGUAUAUAACUUUUUAUCUAAUUUCAAUACAAUAACUUAUACAUGUACGUAUAUACAUAUUCGAAUCUAACAUAUACAUAUAUAAUUUCAUACUUAAAUAUAUUCAAGACUUAUUCAUGAGUAUACAUAUAUAUUACAACUCACAUGUACAUAUAUAUACACAUUCAUACCUUUAACCAAGUCCAAGGCUUUAUACAUGUAUAUGCUUAUAUAUAUAUAUUCGGACCUUAUGUUUACAUAUAUAUAUUAUAUAAAUACCUUUGAUUAAAAACAAGUAUUUAUACAUAUAUAUAUUUUCGAACAUGAUACAUAUAUAUUUAUAUCAUUCAUACUUAAACAAAAUUCAAUCCAUAUACUUUCAAUUUCAGCUCACCAAAUUACUAUAGAUAUACAUGCAUAUAUACUGAUUUAAUAACCUCAAAUUGCUAAUAGACUUACCUCGGAUAUCAGCGGACACGAUCGAGUAUUCGAUUACUUUCGUUUUUCCCCGAUCCAAAUUCGUUUUCUUCGUUUUUUAUCUUAAUUAGACCUAGAGAUAGCCGAACCUUGUUGUUCUCUUUUCUUUUCUUUUCUUUUUCUUUUCUAUAUUCGGCCAAGAUGAAGAACAUGGCAUUUAAAAUUUGUUAUAUUAAACAUAUAUUAGCCUUAUUUUUAAUUUACUAUAUUAACCUUUACAUAUAUAUAACAUAUAUAAUAAGGUUACAUUAGUCCUUUGCCACCCACUAACUUACAUAGUGGACUAAUUGCAUAGUAAAACCUCUAAAUUAUAAAGACAACAAGAAUUAGGUCCUUUUAUAAUUAACCCCUAAAUUUUCAUUUUACGCGAUUAAGCCCUUUUAUUAAAUCGGACACUUAAACGACGAAAUUAAAACACGAAAAUUUCACACAAUCAAAUGCAUACAAAACAAUAUUAAUAAUAUUUUUCUAAUUCAAAUUUGUGGUCCCGAAACCAGUAUUCUGAUUAGGGUCAAAAACCGGGUUGUUACAACUCUCCCCCCUUAGGGAUUUUCGUCCCCGAAAAUCUUACCGGUGAAUAGGUUUGGAUAACGCUCUUUCAUUGUAUCUUCUAACUCCCAAGUUGCUUCUUCAACCCCAUGUUUAUGCCACAACACUUUAACUAACGGAAUUUUCUUAUUUCGUAAUUCUUUGAUCUCACGAGCCAGAAUGCUAAUCGGUUCUUCCUCAUAUGUCAUAUCAGAGUUAAUUUCAAUCUCCGUCGGACUAAUCACAUGUGAAGGAUCAGAUCGGUAUCUACGAAGCAUCGAAACAUGGAAUACGUUAUGAAUCUUUUCUAACUCAGGCAGUAACAUCAAUCUAUAAGCAACCAAUCCAACUCGCUCUAUAAUCUCAUACGGUCCAAUGAAUCUCGGACACAAUUUGCCUUUACGACCAAAUCUGAGUAUUUUCUUCCACGGUGAGACUUUUAAAAACACUUUAUCCCCGAUCUGAAAUUCUAUAUCCUUUCUUUUCAAAUUCGCAUAAGAUUUCUGACGAUCCGAUGCUGAUUUCAGACUGUCCCGAAUCACUUUCACUUUCUGUUCGGUCUCUUUAAUCAAAUCAACCCCGUGUAUCUUAUUUUCACUGAGCUCGGUCCAAUACAGUGGUGUACGACAUUUACAACCGUACAAAGCCUCAUAAGGUGCCAUUUUGAUACUAGAUUGAAAGCUAUUAUUAUAAGCAAAUUCAAUCAAAGGUAAGUAUCGUUCCCACGUACCUUCAAACUCGAGAAUGCAACAUCUCAACAUAUCCUCAAGUAUCUGAAUGAUUCAUUCAGAUUGACCAUCUGUCUGCGGAUCGAAAGCUGUGCUAAAAUGUAGUUUCGUACCUAAAGCAUCUUGUAGUUUCUUCCAAAAUCGCGAUGUGAAUCUCAGAUCUCUGUCUGAAACAAUAGAAAUAGGUACACCAUGCAACCUCACAAUUUGUGAAAUAUACAAUUCCGCAAGUUUAUCGAGCGAAAAAUCUGUACGAAUCGAAAUAAAAUGUGUCGAUUUUGUCAACCUAUCAACAAUAACCCAGAUUGCAUCUAUCUUGCUCGGUGUCAACGGUAAAUCGGAUACAAAAUCCAUCGUGACUCGAUCCCAUUUCCAUUGAGGUAUCAUGAUCGGCUGAAGCAACCCAGAUGGUACCUGAUGCUUGGCUUUAACUUGCUGACAAAUUAAACAUUUCGAAACAAAGUCAGAAAUGUCUCGUUUCAUACCUUGCCACCAAUAGUGCUGUUUCAGAUCGUUAUACAUUUUCGUGCUACCCGGAUGAACAGAAAAUCGACUACUAUGAGCUUCCUUCAAAAUCAUCUAAAUUAACUCUGAUUUUUUCGGAACACAUAAUCGGUUUCUAAAUCUCAAACAAUCCUCAGCAUCAACUAAAAACUCCGAAUCAAUAUUUAAGUCACAUUGAGCUCGUUUUGCAGUUAAAUCAUUAUCGACCUUUUGAGCUUCACAAAUCUGUUGUACAAAUAACGGUUUUGCUUUCAACUCAGCUACUAUCGCACCAUCAUCAGACAUAACCAUAUGUGCGUUCAUUGCACGCAAAGCAAACAGUGAUUUUCGACUUAGGGCAUCAGCAACAACAUUAGCCUUUCCCGGAUGAUAGUCAAUCACAAGCUCGUAUUCUUUCAGCAAUUCUAACCAUCGACGCUGUCUCAAAUUCAGAUAUUUCUGAGUCAUCAAAUAUUUCAGGCUUUUGGGAUCGGAAUAAACAUGACAUCUUUCACCAAACAGAUAGUGACGCCAUAUUUUUAACGCAAAUACAAUAGCGGCCAAUUCCAGAUCAUGUGUCGGAUAGUUUUUUUCAUGCGGCUUUAACUGUCUCAAGGCAUAGGCUACAACUUUGCCUUCCUACAUCAAAACACAACCCAAACCAUUUAAAGAUGCAUCACUAUAGAUAACAAACUCUUUACCCGAUUCGGGUUGAACUAAGACUGGAGCUUCGGUCAAAAGAACUUUCAACUGAUCAAAGUUUUUCUGACACUUUUCUGACCACUCGAACUUAACGUCUUUUUGUAGUAGCUUUGUCAUCGGGGUCGCAAUCAUAGAAAACCCUUUCACGAACCGUCUAUAAUAACCAGCGAGCCCCAGAAAGCUUCGAACAUCAGAGACAUUUCUCGGAGGUUUCCAAUCAAGUAUAGCUGAAAUUUUACCUGGAUCAACUCGAAUACCCGAUGCUGACACAACAUGGCCCAGAAAACUAACUUCACGUAACCAGAACUCGCAUUUACUGAACUUUGCAUACAACUGUUUAUCUCGCAAAGUUUGUAACACAAGUCUCAGAUGUUCAGUAUGCUCGGUUUCAUCACGAGAGUAGAUCAAAAUAUCAUCUAUAAAUACUACCACAAAUCGAUCCAGAUACUGUCUAAAAAUCUGAUUCAUCAAAUCCAUGAAAACAGCAGGUGCAUUAGUAAGUCCAAAAGGCAUAACCAAGAACUCAUAAUGUCCGUACCUCGUUCGGAAAGCUGUCUUUGGCACAUCAGAGUCUUUAACUCGCAACUGAUAGUAGCCUGAUCUCAGAUCUAUCUUCGAAAACACAGUAGCCCCUUUCAACUGAUCGAACAAAUCAUCAAUCCGUGGUAACGGAUACUUAUUCUUUAUAGUCACCUUAUUGAGUUGCCGGUAAUCAAUGCACAUUCUCAUUGUUCUGUCUUUCUUUUUCACAAAUAGAACUGGUGCACCCCAAGGAGAGAAACUCGGUCGUGUAAAACCUUUAUCAGUCAACUCUUGCAACUGUACUUUCAAUUCUUUUAAUUCGGUCGGUACCAUACGGUACGGAGCUAUCGAAAUUGGAGUUGUCCCUGGUACUAACUCAAUACCAAACUCUACCUCUCGAAUAGGUGGCAAACCCGGUAAUUCUUCGGGAAACACGUCUGAAUACUUACACACUACUGGCACAGAUUCAAUCUUCUUUUCGGUCACUUUACUAUCAAGAAAAAAUGCAAGGUAAUCUUCACAACCUUUUCUCACAUACUUCUGAGCCGACAUCGAGGAUAUUAUUGCUGGUAAACCAUUCAGAUCAUUAGAUUCAAUCCGAAUAAUCUCAUCAUUCUGACACCGUAGAUCAAUAGUUUUCCGUUUGCAGUUUACUAUAGCAUUAUGCAGAGUUAACCAAUCCAUACCCAGAAUUAUAUCAAACUCGUCAAAUGGUAGCAACAUCAAAUCAGCCAGAAAACAUAAAUCUCGAAUCAUCAACGGACAAUUCUUGCACACUUUGUCAACCAAAACACACCGGCCCAAGAGGUUCAAUACUUUAAUUACAAACUCAGUAGACUCAACAGGCAAAGUCUUACUGAAUACUAAAGUCUCACACACAUAAGAAUGAGUCGAACCAAGAUCAAUCAAUGCAAUAACAUUAGUAUCAUAAAGAGUGAAAGUACCAGUAAUAACAUCUGGAGAAGAAGCCUCCUCCCGAGCACGGAUGGCAUAUGCUCUGGCAAGUGCACGAGCCUCAGAUCGAACUGCCAUGUCCUUUGUUCCUCUCUGACUGCCACUUACAUUACUCAAUUGCCUCGGCGGUCUACCUCGUACAGGUACUUUACUCGGUCUGGUAUUCUACACAGUGUUUUGCUCAGCUACCAUCGGACACUCUCGAAUGAAAUGAUCCUUUGAACCGCACUUAAAGCAAGACCGAUCAUGUAAUCUGCAAUCUCCAGGAUGCCAUUUCCCACAAUGCUUGUACUCUGAUCUAUUUUGUCGAACACUACCAACGCUAGCAACUGAAGUAGCUCGUGAACUCACAGGGGGUCGAUCUCGAUCAUACUUAGGAAACCCUGCAGUAGCUUUAGAUCGGCUAUGAUCCUCUCUGGAUUUCAUUGAGGUCGACUGGAAUGAUUUACUGAAUGAUCUUUUACGAGAAUCUCGAGCUUCAUAGCCAGCUUUCCUCUUCUCUUUACUGAGCUCCUUAACUUUACAAGGUCGUUCAACAAGUACUACGAACUCUUUUAUCUCAAGUAUACCAAAUAACAGUUUAAUAUCUUCAUCCAGCCCAUCUUCAAAUCUUUUACACAUGAUAGCUUCAGUCGAAAUACAUUCUCGAGCAUAUCUACUGAGUCUCACAAAUUUCCGCUCAUAUUCUAUCACUGUCAUACGACCCUGUUUCAAUUCAAGAAAUUCCUUAUGCUUCUGAUCAAUGAAUCUUUGGCUGAUGUAUUUCUUACAGAACUCAAUCUGAAAGAAUUCCCAGGUCACUCGCUCUUUCGGAACCACCGAUACUAGUGUAUUCCACCAGUGAUAUGCAGUGUCCCGUAGCAAAGAUAUGGCACAUUUCAAGUACUCAUCAGGGGUGCAAGAUAACUCAUCAAACACUCGAAUAGUAUUAUCAAGCCAGAAUUCAGCUUGCUCAGCAUCAUCAUCAUCAGUAGCUCUGAACUCUUCGACCCCGUGUUUUCAAAUUUAGUCAACAGGAGGCUUAAGUAAUCUCAUCGGAUCACUUACUUGAGGUAUAAUAGGAAUCGAAGGUGGAUUAGUCGGGGGUGGAGUUUGUUGUGCAACCGGAUUAGUUCGGACAUAUUGAGUAAACCAGUCAUUCAUCAUUUGGUAGAAGGCUUGUUUAGCCUCUCCCUCCUGGUUACUCGAGGUCGGUCGAGAAUCUACCAGCUCUGUCCCUUGUGUGGGAGCAGGCGCUAUACUCUCAACAUCAUCGACUACGGCUGGAUCGGGAUCCAUUACUAUACGAAAACACAUUUUUAGACAUCAGCAGUCAUCGCACUAUCUUGGUAUAAAAAUAUGGCAUGUAUAGCUAGACUCAUACAUGCUACAUUAGUCCAAGAAUCGAUUAAACCGUAGCUCUGAUACCAAUAAAAUGUAACACCCCUAACCCGUAUCCGUCGCCGAAUUAGGGUUACGAGGCAUUACUGAACAAAUACAACCAUUUUUAAAACCAACUGAUCACAAACAUGAAAAUUAAAUCAUUUUCACAUAGCUAUUUAUAAUUUACAAUCAACAUCUAACCAACAUCGUACUCAAACCUAUACAUGCCAUAAGAUCAAGUUCAAAUAUUUAACAAAAUACCAAAAGGGGUCGAAAGUGUGAUAGACUAUGCUGAUGAUCCCCGAGCUCGUAACGCAUCUCCAAAAUCUAUAAAAACAAAUGGACAAAAACAAUCAAAGUAAGCUUUUAUAGCUUAGUAAGUCUAUAGCAUAUCUAAAAUACAUAUAAAAGAAUCAUAUAAUUCUUAAAAUAAAUUUAUUGAAAUCACAAUUAUCAAUUAUAAUUACUAAUCGAACAUUGCUAUAUUAAGUCAUCUUGUUUAAAUCUAAAAGGAUGUGUAUUUAUCUAAUACACAUGAACGGACAAAUGUAUAUACAUUAUAUGCAUAUAAUCAAUUUACUAACAUAAUCAUUAAUUGCAUAUACGGAUUUCUAUAGUACUUAUUGUUCGCACUUAAUCGGAUCCAUUUAAAUAUAAUUGUUCAAAUACAUAUACCAAAAGCAUAAUAAUUUUAUACUUGAUCAACUAUAAGUGCCGAAUGCACAUAUACACCUAUACCCACCUAUGCCGAAUGCAUACAUAUAUACACAUAUAUAUAUAUCCAACAAUUUCGUGACAACCGAUAUAUAUAUACAUACUCACUAUUCACAAGGACUCGAACGAUUAUAUACUCAUCAACCACCUUAAAACAAUGUUCAUAAACUUAUCCAUUUCAUAUAAACAAAAGCAUAUAUAUUUAUACCCAAUGCAUAGAAUCACUUAAUUUAAACAGAUUCACUAGCACUUCACCUGAUAGGCUUAUAGUUUAAUUCAGUUCACCGGUACUUAGCCUACUAGGCUUGUAGCCUGAUUCAGUUCACCGGCACUUAGCCUGCUAGACGUAUAGUCCGAUUCAAUUCACCGGCAUUUAGCCUGCUAGACGUAUAGUCCGAUUCAAUUUAUCGGCACUUAGCCUGCUAGAUGUAUAGUCUGAAUAAUUUUACUGGUAAUAAAUCCGAUAGUCAUUUCUCCGUUGAAAUUGAAUUAUAUUCAAUUCUGCGUAACAAACAUGCACUUAAAACAUACUUGCAUAAUUCACAACAAUAAUUUCAGUCCAAAGAGCUGUAAUUCAUAUUCGAACUAUAUAUAUAAAUCCAUACAUAAAAAUUCAGCUCAAAAUUUAUAACCUAUAUCUUUGAACCACAUAGGUACAUGAAAUUCAAACAACAAAAUCCAGCUCAAUAACUUCAUGAUUCAACCUAACAAAUUUAUGUAUAUAACUUUUUAUCUAAUUUCAAUACAAUAACUUAUACAUGUACGUAUAUACAUAUUCGAAUCUAACAUAUACAUAUAUAAUUUCAUACUUAAAUAUAUUCAAGACUUAUUCAUGAGUAUACAUAUAUAUUACAACUCACAUGUACAUAUAUAUACACAUUCAUACCUUUAACCAAGUCCAAGGCUUUAUACAUGUAUAUGCUUAUAUAUAUAUAUAUUCGGACCUUAUGUUUACAUAUAUAUUAUAUAUAAAUACCUUUGAUUAAAAACAAGUAUUUAUACAUAUAUAUAUUUUUGAACAUGAUACAUAUAUAUAUUUAUAUCAUUCAUACUUAAACAAAAUUCAAUCCAUAUACUUUCAAUUUCAGCUCACCAAAUUACUAUAGAUAUACAUGCAUAUAUACUGAUUUAAUAACCUCAAAUUGCUAAUAGACUUACCUCGGAUAUCAGCGGACACGAUCGACUAUUCGAUUACUUUCGUUUUUCCCCGAUCCAAAUUCGUUUUCUUCGUUUUUUUAUCUUAAUUAGACCUAGAGAUAGCCGAACCUUGUUGUUCUCUUUUCUUUUCUUUUCUUUUUCUUUUCUAUAUUCGGCCAAGAUGAAGAACAUGGCAUUUAAAAUUUGUUAUAUUAAACAUAUAUUAGCCUUAUUUUUAAUUUACUAUAUUAACCUUUACAUAUAUAUAUAACAUAUAUAAUAAGGUUACAUUAGUCCUUUGCCACCCACUAACUUACAUAGUGGACUAAUUGCAUAGUAAAACCUCUAAAUUAUAAAGACAACAACAAUUAGGUGCUUUUAUAAUUAACCCCUAAAUUUUCAUUUUACGCGAUUAAGCCCUUUUAUUAAAUCGGACACUUAAACGACGAAAUUAAAACACGAAAAUUUCACACAAUCAAAUGCAUACAAAAUAAUAUUAAUAAUAUUUUUCUAAUUCAAAUUUGUGGUCCCGAAACCAGUAUUCUGAUUAGGGUCAAAAACCGGGUUGUUACAACUCUCCCCCCUUAGAGAUUUUCGUCCCCGAAAAUCUUACCGGUGAAUAGGUUUGGAUAACGCUCUUUCAUUGUAUCUUCUGACUCCCAAGUUGCUUCUUCAACCCCAUGUUUAUGCCACAACACUUUAACUAACGGAAUUUUCUUAUUUCGUAAUUCUUUGAUCUCACGAGCAAGAAUGCUAAUCGGUUCUUCCUCAUAUGUCAUAUCAGAGUUAAUUUCAAUCUCCGUCGGACUAAUCACAUGUGAAGGAUCAGAUCGGUAUCUACGGAGCAUCGAAACAUGGAAUACGUUAUGAAUCUUUUCUAACUCAGGCAGUAACAUCAAUCUAUAAGCAACCAAUCCAACUCGCUCUAUAAUCUCAUACGGUCCAAUUAAUCUCGGACACAAUUUGCCUUUACGACCAAAUCUGAGUAUUUUCUUCCACGGUGAGACUUUUAACUUGCUCGGUGUCAACGGUAAAUCGGAUACAAAAUCCAUCGUGACUCGAUCCCAUUUCCAUUGAGGUAUCAUGAUCGGCUGAAGCAAUCCAGAUGGUACCUGAUGCUCGGCUUUAACUUGCUGACAAAUUAAACAUUUCGAAACAAAGUCAGAAAUGUCUCGUUUCAUACCUUGCCACCAAUAGUGCUGUUUUAGAUCGUUAUACAUUUUCGUGCUACCCGGAUGAACAGAAAAUCGAAUACUAUGAGCUUCCUUCAAAAUCAUCUGAAUUAACUCUGAAUUUUUCGGAACACAUAAUCGGUUUCUAAAUCUCAAACAAUCCUCAGCAUCAACUAAAAACUCCGAAUCAAUAUUUAAGUCACAUUGAGCUCGUUUUGCAGUUAAAUCAUUAUCAACCUUUUGAGCUUCACAAAUCUGUUGUACAAAUAACAGUUUUGCUUUCAACUCAGCUACUAUCGCACCAUCAUCAGACAUAACCAUAUGUGCGUUCAUUGCACGCAAAGCAAACAGUGAUUUUCGACUUAGGGCAUCAGCAACAACAUUAGCCUUUCCCGGAUGAUAGUCAAUCACAAGCUCGUAAUCUUUCAGCAAUUCUAACCAUCGACGCUGUCUCAAAUUCAGAUAUUUCUGAGUCAUCAAAUAUUUCAGGCUUUUGGGAUCGGAAUAAACAUGACAUCUUUCGCCAAACAGAUAGUGACGCCAUAUUUUUAACGCAAAUACAAUAGCGGCCAAUUCCAGAUCAUGCGUCGGAUAGUUUUUUUCAUGCGGCUUUAACUGUCUCAAGGCAUAGGCUACAACUUUGCCUUCCUACAUCAAAACACAACCCAAACCAUUUAAAGAUGCAUCACUAUAGAUAACAAACUCUUUACCCGAUUCGGGUUGAACUAGGACUGGAGCUUCGGUCAAAAGAACUUUCAACUGAUCAAAGUUUUUCUGACACUUUUCUGACCACUCGAACUUAACGUCUUUUUGUAGUAGCUUUGUCAUCGGGGUCGCAAUCAUAGAAAACCCUUUCACGAACCGUCUAUAAUAACCAGCGAGCCCCAGAAAGCUUCGAACAUCAGAGACAUUUCUCGGAGGUUUCCAAUCAAGUAUAGCUGAAAUUUUACUUGGAUCAACCUGAAUACCCGAUGCUGACACAACAUGGCCCAGAAAACUAACUUCACGUAACCAGAACUCGAAUUUACUGAACUUUGCAUACAACUGUUUAUCUCGCAAAGUUUGUAACACAAGUCUCAGAUGUUCAGUAUGCUCGGUUUCAUCACGAGAGUAGAUCAAAAUAUCAUCUAUAAAUACUACCACAAACAGAUCCAGAUACUGUCUAAAAAUCUGAUUCAUCAAAUCCAUGAAAACAGCAGGUGCAUUAGUAAGUCCAAAAGGCAUAACCAAGAACUCAUAAUGUCCGUACCUCGUUCGGAAAGCAGUCUUUGGCACAUCAGAGUCUUUAACUCGCAACUGAUAGUAGCCUGAUCUCAGAUCUAUCUUCGAAAACACAGUAGCCCCUUUCAACUGAUCGAACAAAUCAUCAAUCCGUGGUAACGGAUACUUAUUCUUUAUAGUCACCUUAUUGAGUUGCCGGUAAUCAAUGCACAUUCUCAUUGUUCCGUCUUUCUUUUUCACAAAUAGAACUGGUGCACCCCAAGGAGAGAAACUCGGUCGUGCAAAACCUUUAUCAGUCAACUCUUGCAACUGUACUUUCAAUUCUUUUAAUUCAGUCGGUGCCAUACGGUACGGAGCUAUCGAAAUUGGAGUUGUCCCUGGUACUAACUCAAUACCAAACUCUACCUCUCGAAUAGGUGGCAAACCCGGUAAUUCUUCGGGAAACACGUCUGAAUACUUACACACUACUGGCACAGAUUCAAUCUUCUUUUCGAUCACUUUACUAUCAAGAAAAAAUGCAAGGUAAUCUUCACAACCUUUUCUCACAUACUUUUUUGCCGACAUCGAGGAUAUUAUUGCUGGUAAACCAUUCAGAUCAUUAGAUUCAAUCCGAAUAAUCUCAUCAUUCUGACACCGUAGAUCAAUAGUUUUCCGUUUGCAGUUUACUAUAGCAUCAUGCAGAGUUAACCAAUCCAUACCCAGAAUUAUAUCAAACUCGUCAAAUGGUAGCAACAUCAAAUCAGCCAGAAAACAUAAAUCUCGAAUCAUCAACGGACAAUUCUUGCAUAUUUUGUCAACCAAAACACACCGGCCCAGGGGGUUCAAUACUUUAAUUACAAACUCAGUAGACUCAACAGGCAAAGUCUUACUGAAUACUAAAGUCUCACACACAUAAGAAUGAGUCGAACCAAGAUCAAUCAAUGCAAUAACAUUAGUAUCAUAAAGAGGGAAAGUACCAGUAAUAACAUCUGGAGAAGAAGCCUCCUCUUGAGCACGGAUGGCAUAUGCUCUGGCAAGUGCACGAGCCUCAGAUCGAACUGCCAUGUCCUUUGUUCCUCUCUGACUGCCACUUACAUUACUCAAUUGCCUCGGUGGUCUACCUCGUACUGGCACUUUACUCGGUCUGGUAUUCUGCACAGUGUUUUGCUCAGCUACCAUCGGACACUCUCGAAUGAAAUGAUCCUUUGAACCGCACUUAAAGCAAGACCGAUCAUGUAAUCUGCAAUCUCCAGGAUGCCAUUUCCCACAAUACUUGUACUCUGAUCUAUUUUGUCGAACACUACCAACGCUAGCAACUGAAGUAGCUCGUGAACUCACAGGGGGUCGAUCUCGAUCAUACUUAGGAAACCCUGCAGUAGCUUUAGAUCGGCUAUGAUCCUCUCUGGAUUUCAUUGAGGUCGACUGGAAUGAUUUACUGAAUAAUCUUUUACGAGAAUCUCGAGCUUCAUAGCCAGCUUUCCUCUUCUCUUUCCCGAGCUCCUCAACUUUACAAGGUCGUUCAACAAGUACUACGAACUCUUUUAUCUCAAGUAUACCAAAUAACAGUUUAAUAUCUUCAUCCAGCCCAUCUUCAAAUCUUUUACACAUGAUAGCUUCAGUCGAAAUACAUUCUCGAGCAUAUCUACUGAGUCUCACAAAUUUCCGCUCAUAUUCUAUCACUGUCAUACGACCCUGUUUCAAUUUAAGAAAUUACUUACGCUUCUGAUCAAUGAAUCUUUGGCUGAUGUAUUUCUUACAGAACUCAAUCUGAAAGAAUUCCCAGGUCACUCGCUCUUUCGGAACCACCGAUACUAGUGUAUUCCACCAGUGAUAUGCAGUGUCCCGUGGCAAAGAUAUGGCACAUUUCAAGUACUCAUCAGGGGUGCAAGAUAACUCAUCAAACACUCGAAUAGUAUUAUCAAGCCAGAAUUCAUCUCGCUCAGCAUCAUCAUCAUCAGUAGCUCUGAACUCUUCGACCCCGUGUUUUUGAAUUUUGUCAAUAGGAGGCUUAAGUAAUCUCAUCGGAUCACUUACUUGAGGUAUAACAGGAAUCGAAGGUGGAUUAGUCGGGGGUGGAGUUUGUUGUGCAACCGGAUUAGUUCGGACAUAUUGAGUAAACCAGUCAUUCAUCAUUUGGUAGAAGGCUUGUUUAGCCUCUCCCUCCUGGUUACUCGAGGUCGGUCGAGAAUCUACCGGCUCUGUCCCUUGUGUGGGAGCAGGCGCUAUACCCUCAACAUCAUCGACUACGGCUCGAUCGGGAUCCAUUACUAUACGAAAACACAUUUUUAGACAUCAGCAGUCAUCACACUAUCUUGGUAUAAAAAUAUGGCAUGUAUAGCUAGACUCAUACAUGCUACAUUAGUCCAAGAAUCGAUUAAACCGUAGCUCUGAUACCAAUAAAAUGUAACACCCCUAACCCGUAUCCGUCGCCGAAUUAGGGUUACGAGGCAUUACUGAACAAAUACAACCAUUUUUAAAACCAACUGAUCACAAACAUGAAAAUUAAAUCAUUUUCACAUAGCUAUUUAUAAUUUACAAUCAACAUCUAACCAACAUCGUACUCAAACCUAUACAUGCCAUAAGAUCAAGUUCAAAUAUUUAACAAAAUACCAAAAGGGGUCAAAAGUGUGAUAGACUAUGCUGAUGAUCCCCGAGCUCGUAACGCGUCUCCAAAAUCUAUAAAAACAAAUGGACAAAAACAAUCAAAGUAAGCUUUUAUAGCUUAGUAAGUCUAUAGCAUAUCUAAAAUACAUAUAAAAGAAUCAUAUAAUUCUUAAAAUAAAUUUAUUGAAAUCACAAUUAUCAAUUAUAAUUACUAAUCGAACAUUGCUAUAUUAAGUCAUCUUGUUUAAAUCUAAAAGGAUGUGUAUUUAUCUAAUACACAUGAACGGACAAAUGUAUAUACAUUAUAUGCAUAUAAUCAAUUUACUAACAUAAUCAUUAAUUGCAUAUACGGAUUUCUAUAGUACUUAUUGUUCGCACUUCAUCGGAUCCAUUUAAAUAUAAUUGUUCAAAUACAUAUACCAAAAGCAUAAUAAUUUUAUACUUGAUCAACUAUAAGUGCCGAAUGCACAUAUACACCUAUACCCACCUAUGCCGAAUGCAUACAUAUAUACACAUAUAUAUAUAUCCAACAAUUUCAUGACAACCGAUAUAUAUAUACAUACUCACUAUUCACAAGGACUCGAACGAUUAUAUACUCAUCAACCACCUUAAAACAAUGUUCAUAAACUUAUCCAUUUCAUAUAAACAAAAGCAUAUAUAUUUAUACCCAAUGCAUAGAAUCACUUAAUUUAAACAGAUUCACUGGCACUUCACCUGAUAGGCUUAUAGUUUAAUUCAGUUCACCGGCACUUAGCCUACUAGGCUUGUAGCCUGAUUCAGUUCACCGGCACUUAGCCUGCUAGACGUAUAGUCCGAUUCAAUUCACCGGCAUUUAGCCUGCUAGACGUAUAGUCCGAUUCAAUUUACCGGCACUUAGCCUGCUAGAUGUAUAGUCUGAAUAAUUUUACUGGUAAUAAAUCCGAUAGUCAUUUCUCCGUUGAAAUUGAAUUAUAUUCAAUUCUGCGUAACAAACAUGCACUUAAAACAUACUUGCAUAAUUCACAACAAUAAUUUCAGUCCAAAGAGCUGUAAUUCAUAUUCGAACUAUAUAUAUAUAAAUCCAUACAUAAAAAUUCAGCUCAAAAUUUAUAACCUAUAUCUUUGAACCACAUAGGUACAUGAAAUUCAAACAACAAAAUCCAGCUCAAUAACUUCAUGAUUCAACCUAACAAAUUUAUGUAUAUAACUUUUUAUCUAAUUUCAAUACAAUAACUUAUACAUGUACGUAUAUACAUAUUUGAAUCUAACAUAUACAUAUAUAAUUUCAUACUUAAAUAUAUUCAAGACUUAUUCAUGAGUAUACAUAUAUAUUACAACUCACAUGUACAUAUAUAUACACAUUCAUACCUUUAACCAAGUCCAAGGCUUUAUACAUGUAUAUGCUUAUAUAUAUAUAUAUUCGGACCUUAUGUUUACAUAUAUAUUAUAUAUAAAUACCUUUGAUUAAAAACAAGUAUUUAUACAUAUAUAUAUUUUCGAACAUGAUACAUACAUAUAUUUAUAUCAUUCAUACUUAAACAAAAUUCAAUCCAUAUACUUUCAAUUUCAGCUCACCAAAUUACUAUAGAUAUACAUGCAUAUAUACUGAUUUAAUAACCUCAAAUUGCUAAUAGACUUACCUCGGAUAUCAGCGGACACGAUCGACUAUUCGAUUACUUUCGUUUUUCCCCGAUCCAAAUUCGUUUUCUUCGUUUUUUUAUCUUAAUUAGACCUAGAGAUAGCCGAACCUUGUUGUUCUCUUUUCUUUUCUUUUCUUUUUCUUUUCUAUAUUCGGCCAAGAUGAAGAACAUGGCAUUUAAAAUUUGUUAUAUUAAACAUAUAUUAGCCUUAUUUUUAAUUUACUAUAUUAACCUUUACAUAUAUAUAACAUAUAUAAUAAGGUUACAUUAGUCCUUUGCCACCCACUAACUUACAUAGUGGACUAAUUGCAUAGUAAAACCUCUAAAUUAUAAAGACAACAACAAUUAGGUGCUUUUAUAAUUAACCCCUAAAUUUUCAUUUUACGCGAUUAAGCCCUUUUAUUAAAUCGGACACUUAAACAACGAAAUUAAAACACGAAAAUUUCACACAAUCAAAUGCAUACAAAAUAAUAUUAAUAAUAUUUUUCUAAUUCAAAUUUGUGGUCCCGAAACCAGUAUUCUGAUUAGGGUCAAAAACUGGGUUGUUACAACUCUCCCCCCUUAGGGAUUUUCGUCCCCGAAAAUCUUACCGGUGAAUAGGUUUGGAUAACGCUCUUUCAUUGUAUCUUCUGACUCCCAAGUUGCUUCUUCAACCCCAUGUUUAUGCCACAACACUUUAACUAACGGAAUUUUCUUAUUUCGUAAUUCUUUGAUCUCACGAGCCAGAAUGCUAAUCGGUUCUUCCUCAUAUGUCAUAUCAGAGUUAAUUUCAAUCUCCGUCGGACUAAUCACAUGUGAAGGAUCAGAUCGGUAUCCACAGAGCAUUGAAACAUGGAAUACGUUAUGAAUCUUUUCUAACUCAGGCAGUAACAUCAAUCUAUAACCAACCGAUCCAACUCGCUCUAUAAUCUCAUACGGUCCAAUGAAUCUCGGACUCAAUUUGCCUUUACGACCAAAUCUGAGUAUUUUCUUCCACGGUGAGACUUUUAAAAACACUUUAUCCCCGAUCUGAAAUUCUAUAUCCUUUCUUUUCAAAUCCGCAUAAGAUUUCUGACGAUCCGGUGCUGAUUUCAGACUGUCCCGAAUCACUUUCACUUUCUGUUCGGUCUCUUUAAUCAAAUCAACCCCGUGUAUCUUAUUUUCACUGAGCUCAGUCCAAUACAGUGGUGUACGACAUUUACGACCGUACAAAGCCUCAUAAGGUGCCAUUUUGAUACUAGAUUGAAAGCUAUUAUUAUAAGCAAAUUCAAUCAAAGGUAAGUAUCGUUCCCACGUACCUUCAAACUCGAGAAUGCAACAUCUCAACAUAUCCUCAAGUAUCUGAAUGAUUCGUUCAGAUUGACCAUCUGUCUGCGGAUGGAAAGCUGUGCUAAAAUGUAGUUUCGUACCUAAAGCUGUGCUAAAAUGCACACAAAAUAAACACACAAAAUAAUAUUAAUAAUAUUUUUCUAAUUCGGAUUUGUGGUCCCGAAACCACUAUUCCGAUUAGGGUCAAAAACCGGGUUGUUACAAUUCUGCUUCUUCUGCAUCAUCAUCUUUGGUAGCUCGAAAUUCUUCAGCCCCUUACUUCCUAAUCUUAUCAACAGGUGGUCUCUCACUGAUGACUAUACCUGCAGCUAGGGAAACUACAUGAGGAACCUGUGAAUCCUGAAGGGGUGGAGGUCUUACACCCGGAUUCAUACGAACGAACUCGGCAAACCAAUCAUUCAUGGCUUGGAAGAAGGCUUCUCUAGCUCCUCCUCCCUGUCUAACUGAUGCAGGUCUUUCACUAACGUUAACAUCUAGUGGCACCGUCCUUUCUGCGGAAGUAGGCGCAUUACUCUCUACUUCAUCUGCACCAGCUCGUUCAGGAUCCGUAACUAUAAAAUAAAAUAUUUUAAAAUCGUCAAGAGUCGUCACACUAUCAAAAUAUAUAAGUAUGGCAUGUAUAGGUAGACUUUUAUUCAUACUGCAUAUUUCUGAGAACCGAUUAAACCUGCUCUGAUACCAACAAAUGUAACACCCCUUACCCAAGACCAUUUUCGGAGUCGAGCACGAGGCAUUACUUAUCUUAUCUUACUAACUCGAAGCAUAAAAACUUAUUUUAAAAAUUAAUUUCACUAUUUACAGCAAUCUGUCCAAUCGAGCAGCAGUUACUAAAUUAAUAAUAACUCGAGCUACGGAACUUGAAAUUUAACUUCGUAAAUUUUCACUGAAACUAGACUCAUAUAUCUUCCUACCAUAAAGUUUUUAGGAUUUUUUGUUUAGCCAACUAGUACAGUUUAUUAGUCAAAUUCUCCCCUGUUUCACCAAUCGAUUGCCUUGACCUCUUAUCACUAAAAAUAAAAUUUCUCAAUGUGGGAUUUUCGUAUAGUGCUACUGCUUGCUUCUACAAAAAAUAGACUCAAUAAGGAAUCUAUAAAUAUAAACUACAGCUCCUAAAUAUUUUUUUAAAAAUUUUAAUGAUUUUCUAAACUCAAAAUAGGGGUCACCAAAAACUGUUCUAACCCUGUCUCACCAAAAUUCACAUAUCUUAAAAUAUAAAAUUCAUUUUGCUACACCGUUAUUUUUAUCUGAAAAUAGACUCAACAAGAUUUAAAUUCAUAUAUCAUUCACUCUUUAAUUCAUUUUAUACUAUCCUAGGUGAUAUUUCAAAGUCACGUCGUUGUUGCUGCCUGAAUUCUGUUUCUUUGCAAAAUUGUACCAUUUUAUGAUUUCCAUGCAUAGUUUAUCACUUACACUCUUAUAACAACAAACACUUCCAUACUUCACCAUUUUAGCAACCAUUCAUCAUCAACUACUUACAUAUCAUUCUUUAUCAAGAUCAUAAAUACAAACAUUUAAAAUAACUAAAUCCCUAUACAUUCCAUACUCAACAUGGUUCAACAUAAAAAUACCGAGUUGCUGUGGCUGAUAGUGUGGACGAUCUCCGACUUCUUUAGGAUCCUUGAAGUAACCUUGCAAUACUAUAAGAGAAAGAGAAAUAAAAGACGUAAGCAUAAAGCUUAGUAAGUUUACUAGCAAAUAAAUAACAAUAUUUAACUCAGAUAAUUAAACUCAAGUGUCUAUAUCUCUAGUUUACUCUUUAGUUAAUCCCAUUCUAGUUCUCUUGCUUGUUUACUUAGUAUACUUGUGUGCAUAACUUAAUCUUCUCUUGCUGUAUCGUUGAAUAUCAAUUGAUAAUAUAAUAAGUUCUUAACUCUUAUAACUUACCUGAACUUGCCAUUUAUGUUUUUAACUGAACUUUCCUGAACAUGAUUCGUUAUUUAGCCCGUUGAGCUACAUUGGAACAAUAAGGAUACUCGGGUCUCUUCUGAUAAUAACAUGCCAAAGCCAUGUCCCAGACAUGGUCUUACAUGGGAUGUACUCAUGUCGGUGCCCAUUCCAUGUCCCAGACAUGGUCUUACGGGGGACCUCUCAUCUCGGUGCCAAUGUCAUGUCUCAGACAUGGUCUUACAUGGGACCUCUCAUCUCGGUGCCAACACCAUGUCCCAGACAUUGUCUUACAUGGGACCUCUCAUUUCGGUGCCAACGCCAUGUCCCAGACAUGGUCUUACAUGGGACCUCUUUAUCCAAAUGUCAUGACAUUCGUAUCCAGUAUUAUCCUUAUGUAUCAACGGGACUUUUUAAUUUUAAUUCUCUAUCAUUUCAUGCUUGGAUAAUCAUCAAAUAAAUUCAUGAAAUAAAUUCAUAGUUGCUGGAAAAUAGCAGCAUUAAUAAAAAUUAUUGAAAUAUUUCAUUUAUUUACCGUAAACUUACCUUGGUACCGAAUAUAGCCCAAUUCACCAACUUAGUCUUCAACUUUAUUCUUUCCUUUGUCUAACCUCGAGUUUCAUUCUUCUUGAUCUAAAAUAGAAAAUUUAACUUAUUUAAUACUCACAUUCAUCAAAACAGCCCUCGACUCUAACUUUUCAAAAUUAUGAUUUUGCCCCUAAACUUUUACAUAAUUACAUUUUUCCCCAAGGCUCGAAAAUUCAACUUCAUCUCAUAUUCUUAUGUUUUAUGGCAUGCUGAAUAUUUUUCUCUUCUAUGACAAUAUCAAAUUCUCACUCUAACACUUACUUAUGUACAUUAGAGAUUUUUACCGAUUAUGUCAACUUACUCGUUUUUGCUUAAAAUCGGCUAACAAAAGUUGUUUAACAUAAUUUAUAGCUUCAUAUUCUAUCAUAAAACAUCAAAAUAAACACUUUUCACCUAUGGGUAUUUUUCCAAAUAUAAACCCUAGGUUAAAUUAUUGCUAGAAUAAGCUAAAUUAAGUUACCGGGACUCCAAAAACGUAAGGAACAUUAAAAACGGGGCUUGGGAUCACUUACUAUGGAGCUUGGAAGCUUGAAAACCCUAAAUAUGGCUUACCCCCUUGCUGAUUUCGUCCAAAUGAAGAAGAUGAGCAUAAUUUGUCAUCUUUUUCCCUUUUAAUUCAUUUUAAUUACUAGAUUACCAAAUUGCCCCUAACUUAAAAAUUUCCUAUUUCACUUAUCUCAUGUCCAUUUUUGUCUAAAAACUUAACCAAUGGUCUAAUUACCAUAUAAAGACCUCCAAUUUAAAGUUUCAUAACAAUUGGACACCUCUAACAUGUAGAACUCAACUUUUGCACUUUUUGCAAUUUAGUACUUUUGACUAAAUUGAGUGCCCAAACUUCAAAAUUUUCGAAUAAAAUUUUCAUGAAAUCAUUUUGUGAAAUCAUAGACCAUAAAAAUAUAAGAAAAAUAAAAUUUUCCUCAUCGGAUUUGUGAUCCCGAAACCACUGUUCCGAUAAUCUUAAAUUUGGGCCAUUACAUGAUCACCUUUUUACUAGCUCAUACAUCUCCUACAUCAGACCUUACAUGCAUGCUUACCAAACUUUAUUCUUUUUAACAAAACUUUAUACAUAUCAUCGUAGCACAUCUUUCAUCUUUACUAAACUCAUAUUUUUACCAAUUUCUGUAGACAUCAUCAUCAUCAUCCUAUAUAUAUGCUUCUUGUUUGAACAGUUCAUAUCAAAGAGUCAAGAUAGAGACCCACUUGACACUCACCUACUGCAGUUCAAAGCUCUAAACUUAACCAUCCUUCUCAAACCAGCAGUAAAAACUGCUUAUAGAACAUAGAAUCACCAUUAAAAACCCAUUUACAUACAAAUUACUAUCAUCUUAAUCACUUUUCCACUGUUAAUUUAUAAAUAAGUGUUAAGUAGUAAAUAAAUAAAAAAAUUAACUAAGUUUUCAAAAAAAAAGUCACUGUGACGAGAAGAAUGUUAAAAUUAAUUGGUGUUUGUUAACUCAUAUGUUUUUCUAAAAAUGGGUUAAGUUUUCUUCUGAAAUAAACAAAUGUUUUAAAAUGAUUGUUUUAUAAACUCCGAUCGUACUAUCCCAUCUUGGUGGCUGAUGUAAUAUCCCAAAUUCAGGUCUAACAUCUAAGUCGGGUUGGAUAGGUUACAAUAUAUAUAGAAAGAUUGAUAAAUAAUGCAAACUUGAAUACAAGCAAAGAAAGAAAUCAAUCAAUGUGAAUGACUAACAAGUUUAAAAUCAUAUAUUUGCAUUAUAUUUUGUAAAGCACAAGAUUGUCAUGGAAUUAGACAAUUUGUUUUGAUAAUGGUUAUAUUUUAUAUAGAUUUACUUUUAUGCACUUUCAUAUUGAGUUGAUCAAAAGUUUUGAAACUUUAUAGAAAAUUUGAAUGAAAGAGCAUAUUGAUAUAUAUGCUAUCUUGAGUGUUGAAUUAAGCAUUCUUUAGUAAAAGAGUGUACAUUUCGCACAUGGUAGGUGUGUUGGUUUCUUAUAUAUUAAUUAAGCACAAAUUAAAGAAAAAUAAUAUAUAUCACCAUAGUGUUGUAAUAUUUUGUAUAAUUUGUGAAAUUAUACAAGCAAAUAAGUUUACCUAUCUUGUUAAAUAAAACUCAUUAAGUUGGUUCUUAAUCUUGAAGAAUUAAAUAGGUUGGCUUCUUUAUUCAUUUUAUCCAACUACAAGUUAGAUUAAAGUUGUGGAAAUAGAAUGGUUGAAAAUUUGUGUUAAUGAGAAUUAGAGUUAUGGCCACAACUGAUGCCAACUAUUUCCUAAAAACAGGGAAUGAUGUCCAAAAACAUGCUGUAAAAUAAAAAUUUGGACAUGUUAGAAUAUGAAUUUAUUAUAUUAUAGUUUCAAUGUAAUACCCUUAUCCCAUCUCUGUUGCCGGAUUAGGAUUUCAGAGUAUUACUGAGAAAAAUAGAACAUUUAACUUUCCAACAGAAACAAUUGUACAAUUAAAUACCAACAUAUAACAAUUGAAUCUAAUCAUGGCAAAUAUUACACUUUUGGACCUUGAAUCGAGCCUAUGGGGCCCUAGAAACAGUUUAGGAACAAUCUGGGAUCAAAUCAAAACAAAUCAGAACAUUUUGAAAAAACAUAAAAAUUUAGGAAUACAGAGGUCACAGGCCAUAUGGCCAAGUCGUGUGACAUAGCCUAGAUUGUGUAAACAUCCGAAGUCAGGACACAUAGCUGUGUCCCAGCCUGUGUGUCUACUCAUGUGUAUAUUUGAAAUAGGGUCACACAGUCGUGUUGCAGACUGCCAAACGUGUGUGUAUUCAAAGUGAGGUCGCAAGACCAUGUGGCCGACCGUGCCACAAACUGUUUUGAGACACAAGGUCAUGUCUCAGACCGUGUAAAACAUGCACUUAAAAUAAUAAAUACACACGACCGUAUCUAGUGACUAUGUGUGGCACAUGGUCGUGUGGUAGCUUGUGUCUCAGGUCGUGUGCUCCAUUUUUAACCCCUAAAUCAAGCCAAUCAAGCAUCAUUUCUUAUACAACAAGACAUACCAUAUCUAACUAAUUUUACAUGGUUAAAAACACAUUCAAAUCAACAAAUACAUGCCAAAAUUUCGUUCAUCCUAUGUCUAACCAAUAUGCCAUCAAAAGGCACCUCAAUCCAUACAUCCAUUCAACUCAAGAACAAAGUUACAAUAAAUGAACAAGUUUUAUCAUUAGUUAACCAUUCAUGCCUAAAACCACUAAUCUAAUUGACCAAAAUAUGGGCAUACUCAACAAGCAACCAUUUCAAAACAUCAUCAUCAAAUCUUUAUAUACCAUUUAUGAUCAACUUAAUUAUAUUCAACACAAGUACACAUCCAAAAUCAAGCACAUCACUAAGUAUGCCAAAAUAACUUAACUAUUUACAUAUCAACAAUAAGACACCAUAUCCCAAAAUGAAAUAAAAAAGCUACCAAGAUGGUUGGAUAGUGUGUGCUCCAAAACAAUUCAUCCGGUUAGUCCACAAAACGCCAAAUCAACCAAUAUAGAUAAACAAAAAGGUAAGUUCUAAUUCUUGAUAUUCAAAUGCAAGAUCACACCACAUUAGUAUAUAUUUAUUUACAUCAUAAAUGAUACCUUCCAAAAUUCAUAACCAAUUCAUCAUCCACAAUUUCUCAAUACAACCAUUAAUAUUUAUAAACAAGAACUUCAUAGUAACAUUUAUCAUUUAGUAGUAAUAUAAUUAUCCAACAAAAUUGAACAAAUAAAUGCGUUUUAAGUCAUUUGAUACAUAGCCUGCUGAACUAUAGUAACUUGACUCGGAUACUCAUGAUACUACAUCACACCAAAGGUAUCAAUGAUGCAUAACAGAGGCACCGAAGUGCAGACAAAUGCAUGAAUGUGCAAUCAGAGGCACCGAAGUGAAAACAGAUGCACCAAAGUACAAACCCGUACGAGUGCGCAUUAAAACCCUAUUGGCAUGCUAAUCGUAUCCUAAUUGUUUACUACGUUCAACUGGGCAUUAUACUUAAAAUCAUAAUAUCAAUAAAUCCAUCAUUUAGAGGCACUUCUUAUUUCCGUACACAUACUAUAAAUAUGUAACUUUCAUUUCAAUAAUAUGCAAUAACAAUAAUUACCAUCAUCAAACAUUCAUUUUCUAUUUGUACUUAAUUGCAAAAUUUAAUAAUAUAUAAGUAACUCAUGAAAUUUCACAUAUAUACCAUUAACUAGAAAACAAUAAUAUAAUCAUAAAGUGACACACAUAUACAUAUUAUUACACUAUGAACUUACCUAAAAUCUACUUUCGAUUAAUACACAGGGACUACUCCGCUAUUUUUUCCCUUUUCUCGGUUAUUGUCUUUUUGACUCGGUUCUUGAUCUAUAUAGUAAUUAAAUUCAAUUUAUGAAAUUCACAUACAUUUAAAACUCAAUUCAAUGCAUGAUACCCUUAUGUUUUCAUUAUUUUCACAUUUUUCUUAAACUUUUACAUUUCUCACAAUUUAGUCCCUACAAAAUUUAACAAAAUUUUACAAUUUUCCAUGUUAGUUGAACUUCUUUCGAAACUAGUACAAUCCCUAAUUAUUCACAAUUCACAAAAUUUCUAUGCAAAUUUUAAUAAUUCACACAUUGAUCAUUAAACUCAAAAUUAACACAAAUUUUUUUACAAAAAUAUCCUAAUCAACAUUCAAAUAUGUACAACUACCAUUAAAAAUCAUGAACACCAAAAUUCCAUUACUAACCAAUCCCUAAAACUUUAACAUUUUUAUAAUUCCAUCCUCGGGUUUAAUAGUUUAAGUUACAACGAGUUCAAAAACGUAAAAAUUAUUAAAAACAGGUAAGAGAAACACUUACAUGCACCAAUUUGCUAACCGAAACUUCAAGCUCCAAAAAUGGAGUUUUUUUUUUCUUUUUCGGUGGGAGAGAGUUGAGAAGAUGAUGAUACCAUUUUUUUCUUUUGUUUCUUUUCUUUAAUCAAACUAAUUACUAAAUUAUCCUUUUAAUCUAAACUAAAUUAUUAACAUAGCAUGUCCGUAAUUAUCCAUUAACUAACCAUAAGGUUUAUCUAUCAACCAAGUCCAUUACUUUAGUUUUUCUUUAAAAAUCAAGCACAUUUAACAAAUAGAAGCCACUUUAGCAUCUUUUACAAUUUAGACCUUUUUACUAAAUUAACUAAACAGACAUUAAAAUUUCUUAGCCAAAUUUUAUUAUGACUCCAAUAUAACUCUAUAAGCAUAAAAUAAACAUAAAAUACUAACUCAUUUGUCGAAAUUGUGGUCCUGAAACCACCUUUUUUGAUACCACUGAAAAAUGAGAUAUUACAUUAAAUCUCUAAUUUAUGAUAAUGAAUGUGAGAGAAUAAUUUUCUUUGUUUAGAAAUACUAAUCAUUUUCUUUGUUUAGUAAUACUACAACUAGAAUGUGUUUCGACCCUAUUAUUAGAAACUAAUAAUGGAAACCCAACUUUUAAUUAGAAACCUCUAAUUUUAAAGUUUAAUAGGUAACACCCCGAAUUUUGGCCCUAGAAGAAAUAUGUUUUGAACAAGGGAACAGUUAGGAGACUGCACAUAAAUAUUUAGUUGUGCAAGGAAGUGACAUAAAUGAAUGUCUACUUCAGUGGUUGAGUGAUUUAGGAGUGUUUGGAACUGUCUGAGAAGUCAGGGAUUCAAGCAUUGCUUAUGCAAAAUUUUUAUUUUAAGUGAAUAAAAUCAUUGGAUCUAGAUAGUAAGUUCUUAAAUUAUUGUGGUUAAAAUAUGAUGCAAAAGAGUUGUUGGUCUAGUGGUAAGGGGUGUGUGGAGUGCACAUAGGGCCUAAGGUUCGAGUGGUGGCGCAUCAGAAAGGAAAUAUUUAUUUUGCUACUUGAGCUGUUUAGGUAGUGGAGUUGGACUGAAACACAACUAAGGGGAGUUUGCAUAGAAUUUGAAUGGAGUUGUUGGGGGAGUUGAGGAGAAACCGGUAGAAUAAUUUAAGGAGGGAUAAGGGGAGAGAUUUUAGGAGAAAAUCAAGGGAAGUGAGGGGAGUGAAGAAGUGUGCCGAAAGUGGACUUUGAUACUCAGGAAAUUUGGCCAGAAGGGAUACUGCUCAUUUUGGUAUACUUUUCAUUUCGGUUUUGUGUAGUGUUUCUCUCUCUUUUUGCUUUUUGGUGCCGAAUUUUUGCUAAGAUUUCGAGUACCACUCGGGUUUUUCUUUUGCUGCUUUUUUCUUUUAUCAUUUCUUUUGUUUUGGCCGAAUUUCUUUUUAGUUCCCUCCUUUGUCGAAUUCUUUUCUCUCUUCUCUUUGUUGCUUCUUUUCAUUUCUCUAUUUUUCCAAACCUUGACCGAACAGUGUUGAAGUAGUUCUGUGUUCCAUCUUUUGUCUAAAAUGCUCUUCUUCCUCUACUCCUUUUGAUCAACUAUUUGUCGAAUAUUGCCUUCUCUCCCCUUUUAUCUCUUUAAAUUUAUUUUCGGCUUGACAACAAUUCUCUAACAGUUCAAAUUUCUUGAGGAGUGAAAAAGUAUCGCAUAAUAUUAAAGUCAUCGAAACCUUUCUCUCAUCACUCGAUCAAAGGUAAGUAUGUAGGCUAGCAUUCUAAAGUGUAGGCUGAGUGCUUUCUAUGGUUUCAUAAGUUAUUAUGUUUGGAUUUAAACCACAUGAAUAAACAAUCCUAUUUAAUAAAAUCCGUUUGUAAUGCAGAUAUCCAUCAAAGAGAUUGUAGUCAACCUUCGUCAGUGAUAUAAGUAGGCUAAGUCACAUUUGACAAUCGAGGCUUUGGUGCUCGUGGAUCUUAGAGUGUUUUCACAAUCAGGUGUGUAAACACCCCACUGUAACCGUAGAACGACAAAAAGCUAAAAGGCCAAAAAUACGGUGUUUGAGACCACACAGGCGUGCGAUCUCUCAUGUGGUAAGCCCAACCCACAAAUCAUGGCCGAUAGACUGUAGAGGCCUCCAUGAACAUUUCCAUGGGCUUAGGCCGUAAUGGGCCACGUUGGGCCGAAAUGGGUCGUGUGGGUUCAAUAGGCUCGUGGGCACCAUACAGAUGAGAACCACGAUUUGUGAAAAAUACUGGACUGGGCUAUGAAGAUCUCAUAGCCGUGGAAAAAUCUGGGCUGAACAGGCCGCACAAGCGUGCGGGCCUACUUGGGCCGAGUAAUGGGCCUUAGGCCCAUUUGUACCAUUAUGACCAUUUAGGUUACCUGAGUCGCUCGAGGUAACUACGGACCUUUCGAGAGGUCGAUAUCUGCACCAAGACCCAAAAUAGGUAAAAUGAUCGAAAUACCCCUAUAGAGUAAAAUGACCGAAAUACCCCCAAAGGAUAAAAUGAUUGAAAUACCCCUAUAAGGUAAAACGAUCGAAAUACCCCCGUAGGAUAAAAUAACUAUUAUACCCCUAGAAGAUGAAAUGACUGUUAUGGCCUUAUGCUAUGUAUGACUGUUUUGCUCUAUGAUAUGUAUGACUAUGGUUGAGCAUGACAUUUUUCAUACACGUAUGAUAUUAUGUCAUGAUAUAUUGCAUGGGGAUGGAUUGUUAUAUUUGGAGGAAGUGUACUGUACUGACAAGGUUGCACGGGUCGCCCAAGACGACUGUGGACCUACUGAUGGCUAUAUGCCAUUUAUUUUACUGGCAGCUUUGCUGCAAUACUGUUUAAUGCUGCAACUGGUGCUAAUCUUGGUGUGUUUGGAUGGAUGGGUAGAUUUUAUCCCCCAUAUGGUGUGUUUGGCGGAACUGUAACACCCUUAACCUGAAUCCAUUCUGACAUUGUCUCACAAAAUUUAUUAUAUCUCAUAGUUUACAAUUUUAUUACUUACACCAUUUCUUCCAUGAGAAACUAGACUCAAUAAGUUUUAAUUCUAUAUUUUAUUCAUACUCUAAUUCGAUUUUCAUAAUUUAUGGUGAUUUUUCAAAGUGAGCCUACUGUUGUUGUCCAAAACUAUUUUAGUACAAGAUGUUUAUUACCAUGUUUAUAACACCCUUAUUUUCUUUCUCUACACUAUUUCUCAUCCCUUUCUCUUAUUUUCUCUUCACUUACAUAUUAAGAACAUAGGACCAUAUAUACAAAAAAACUUUACACUAACAUCAUUUCCAUACUUUUUCAAUAAUAUCAAACUUAAAAAUAUACUAAAAUCUUGAUGUACUUACCUUGUCAUAUUGAUUUUAAUCUUUAACUUGAUUUUCUCUCUCCUCCAGCUUCUAUUUCUUGAAUCUAACUUGAUAUUAUAGCUCCCCAUAGUCUCCUUGUAAUCUUUCUCUCUUGAUGGAUAUGGAAAUUCUUUUGAUUUCUAGAUGAAAAUAGUGAAUUUUUGGUGAAAGGACUAAAUUGUAAAGAAAGCAAAACUUUCUUUCUUCUCUUCUCCUCUUAACGUGAAUUGCAUGGAAAAGAUGGUGGGUUGGUUCCUUUUCAUCUUUCUUUCCACAUAUAUAUACUAAAUAAUAAAAUAAUAAAAUAUCAUUUAAAAAUCAAAUUAAAAUACUAAUAAACUAAUAUUUAUUUGUUUAUUUAAUCUAAAAUAUCUCCAACAUCAUCAUUAUCUUCUAGAUUUCUCUCUCUUCUAAUUGACCAUUUUGCCCUUCAUGAUAUUUUAAAAUUCCAUCCUUGAGUCAUCACUUAAUUUCGUAAAAUUUCAAUUUAGUCCCUCAAAAUUCCUCACCUUUUUUCAAUUUAGUCCUAAUACAUCCAUUUUCCUUAGUUUCUAGAUCAUUCCACCCUUAAAAUAUUUACACCAUUGGUCCUUCAAUUUUUUCAUAUUUACACUUUAACCCCUCAAUUUUUGAGUAUUUACUCUUGGGCAACAAAAUUUUUACGAUUUAAUCCUUUCUUGAGGUAAUAUGUCAUAAUAUACUUCCCAAUGUUGACAUAACUCCAAAAUUCCCUUUUUUGUCGCUUUAUUUCCUUAUUUUUUUAUAUCAAAGAUAAUAUCUUACUGUAAAAAUUUUUUUGGGGGGUAUUACAUUUCUCUCCCCCUCAAAAUAAAUUUCGUCCUCGAAAUUUCCUUAUUUUCUUUUGAUCAUGAACUUAUUUUUUCUUUAAUUCUAUAGUUCAUUUUUUUUGCAUAUAUUUACUUAGCUUAUCAUUUGUGUCUAUUCUUUAUUCUUUCAUUUCACAAUUUAUUUUUAAUUUAAUAUUUCAAACAUGAAUCAGAGAUAAACUUUUACCUUGUAACUAAAAUUAUUUACCUUUUUACCUGAGGCCCAGUGGACUAAAUAGAACACGUAGGAUAUAUGAAAUUGAUACAGAAGUGCUCUGUUAUACAUCAUUAAACAGAGAGCACUAAAGUGUUAUACGGGAGCAUAAAUGUGCUAAUAAUUGGAGAGCACUAGCGUGCUAUUAAUCAGAGAGUGCGCUAAGGUUCCUUAAUGAUAUACUACUAAUAUCCUAAUAGUUCUAAUCUCAUCUACUUGGGCAAAUUAUAUCAUGCAUGCAUACGACUUUUACACUUUGCGCAUAAUGCUUUUACAUACUUUACAAUUUAAACCUUGUACCAAUGAUUCGUAUAUUUAUACCUUCUCUACCUUUAAUACAUGUAAUAUAUUUCAAAAUUCACUAAUAAUCCAUAUAUAUCAUGUACUUCAUAUAUCAUUUUUACAUAUUAUGCAAUUUAGUCAUCAGCGCAAUAUUUCUUGUAGCAAUAUGUUUUUCUUUUAAUGACACAUAUAACAUUCAUCAUCGACAUGUAUUAUAAAACAUUUAUUCAUACUUUCAUGAGUUCCAAUUCAUCCUAAUCAAUUUUUUUUACUCAUAUACUUGAGUAUCACUUUCAACAUUAUCAGAAUUAGCUCGGUUAGGAAAACAUCUCUGUUUAUAAGUAAAACAAUUCUCAUCAGACUCGAGAGAUAUCACACUAUCACAGGUUACAUAAUGGCAUGCAUUUCUAGACUUCACAUAAGCUACGUUUGGUCCAAGAACCGACUAAAUCGUAGCUCUGAUACCAAUAAAUGUAACACUCUUAACCCGAAUCCAUUCUGACAUUGUCUCACAAAAUUUAUUAUAUCUCAUAGUUUACAAUUCUAUUACUUACACCAUUUCUUCCAUGAGAAACUAGACUCAAUAAGCUUUAAUUCUAUAUUUUAUUCAUACUCUAAUUCGAUUUUCAUAAUUUAUGGUGAUUUUUCAAAGUGAGCCUACUGUUGCUGUCCAAAACUAUUUUAGUACAAGAUGUUUAUUACCAUGUUUAUAACACCCUUAUUUUCUUUCGCUACACUAUUUCUCAUCCCUUUCUCUUAUUUUCUGUUCACUAACGUAUUAAGAACAUAGGACCAUAUAUACAAAAACUUUACAUUAACAUCAUUUCCAUACUUUUUCAAUAAUAUCAAACUUAAAAAUAUACUAAAAUCUUGAUGUACUUACCUUGUCAUAUUGAUUUCAAUCUUUAACUUGAUUUUCUCUCUCCUCCAGCUUCUAUUUCUUGAAUCUAACUUGAUAUUAUAGCUCCCCAUAGUCUCCUUGUAAUCUUUCUCUCUUGAUGGAUAUGGAAAUUCUUUUGAUUUCUAGAUGAAAAUAGUGAAUUUUUGGUGGAAGGACUAAAUUGUAAAGAAAGCAAAACUUUCUUUCUUUUCUCCUCUUAACGUGAAUUGCAUGGAAAAGAUGGUAGGUUGGUUCCUUUUCAUCUUUCUUUCCACAUAUAUAUACUAAAUAAUAAAAUAAUAAAAUAUCAUUUAAAAAUCAAAUUAAAAUACUAAUAAACUAAUAUUUAUUUAUUUAUUUAAUCUAAAAUAUCUCCAACAUCAUCAUUAUCUUCUAGAUUUCUCUCUCUUCUAAUUGACCAUUUUGCCCUUCAUGAUAUUUUAAAAUUCCAUCCUUGAGUCAUCACUUAAUUUCGUAAAAUUGCAAUUUAGUCCCUCAAAAUUCUUCACCUUUUUUCAAUUUAGUCCUAAUACAUCCAUUUUCCUUAGUUUCUAUAUCAUCCCACCCUUAAAGUAUUUACACCAUUGGUCCUUCAACUUUUUCAUAUUUACACUUUAACCCCUCAAUUUUUGAGUAUUUACUCUUGGGCAACAAAAUUUUUACGAUUUAAUCAUUUCUUGAGGUAAUAUGUCAUAAUAUACUUCCCAAUGUUGACAUAACUCCAAAAUUUCCCUUUUUGUCGCUUUAUUUCCUUAUUUUUUUAUAUCAAAGAUAAUAUCUUAGUGUAAAAAAAAAUUUUUUGGGUAUUACAGGAACAGAGUGGUGUGUAGAGGCUGGAUUGGGUAGGAUUUCUAACUGCAUAUCUACACUAAUUAAUGAUUUUGUAUUGUUACUACAUCGAUUAAUGAUAUUACAUACUGUUUACUGCAUGACUGAUAUUUGUUGCUGUUAUGGGCCAAGGCCCCACUGAUACUAUUACUGAAAUUGGGCAAAUGCCCUAUUGAUUAUUGGUAUUGUGAUGGGCUCAAGCCCAAUCGUUUAAUGUUACGGGAAAGGGCUUAGGCCCACACUGAACUGGACUGUUACUAUAACAGGCUCAGGCCCAAACUGUAUUUAUCUAUUGUUUAAUUGACUACUUACUUGUUAGGGGAUUGCACACUGAGUUUUCGUAAACUCAACCCGUUGUUUAACUGUACAGGUAAUCCCUAGUUGUAGUAGGGUCAGUGCUGCGAGGGACUCGAUGAUGGCCACACAACUGCAUCAGCUUUUGUUUUUAGCCUUUGAUUUAUAAGAAACUGAAUUUGGGUAUUUUUAUGUAAAAAGGCCUCUUUAAAGUUAUAAACUUUAAAUUGGGGUUUUUAUUUAUUUAGUUUGAUAUAAACUACUAGUUGUAGAAAAAGACGGGUUUUCAAAAGGUAAAUGUUUUCAAAGUUUCAAAAGGUAAAUGUUUUCAAAGACACCACGUUUUCGCAACAUUUCUAAAAAAAAACUUCCGCAAUGAAUGAGAUUUUGGAAAAUUUAUAACGUUUUAAAAGUGAUUAGCUUUUAAUGAUGCAUGCUUGGAAAUGAACAACCCGUUUUGGAAUCAUAGUUUAACAGCAAAAUGAUUAAUUGAUUUUAAAGAUUUCAACGACAACAAGUUUUACGCUAAACACCUUAAAGUGACACCGCCAGAUUCAACCAUAACUCCUAGGCCGGGUUUGGGGUGUUACAAUGUGUUUCAACCCUAUUAUUAGAAACUGAUACCCUAUUAUUAGAAACUGAUAAUGGAAACACAACUUUUAAUUAGAAACCUCUAAUUUUAAAAUUCAAUAGGUAAAAGCAAGUUAUCGUUAAGUGCCUGUGAUACGCUAGUAAAACUCAUUCUAGAAAAAAAAGUUUAAUGGAAACAAUUGUUAUCCAUUGCGUAUAGAGGAUGAAUUUGAAUACUAUUAAUUAAGUUCAUUGUUUAUUGUUUAAAUGUCUAAAGUAAGGGAGACAUUAAAAGAACUCUACCUUUAUAAACAUAAGAAGUGGUGCCACUUCAACAAGUAAAGGUAGGGUCUCUCUUGUAAAUGUUUAUUAUGAACAAGAUAAGCACAUGAUCAUUUUAGUGCUAAAAGUGAACAACCUCUGAUAGAAAUAUAAACGAAUAUUAUGUAUAGUGUAUUUCAACUUCUAAUACUAGGAGUUGUGGUUCAAUCUUCGGACACCGACAACUUAUUAAAACUUUGAAAAGCAUCCGCUUAUUGAUGGUUCAUAUUGAGAGGUAUCAUCUUUAAUGCAUAAUAUUUGUUUGAGUGAAUGACCAUAAAGUAUGGUACCAACAUUUAAACUAAGGGUGAUUGUUAGUAGUUUAUAAUUUUGGCAGUAAAAAUAUUUUAUUAUGUAGAAAAGUCUAAUAAAUUAUAAUUAUUGGUCAAAUAGUUGUGUUGUAAAGACAAUUUUUGUAUGUAAAGUUGUCUUAUAAACUUUAUGUAAAGUUGUGUUGUAAAACAACAAAAUUAUAUGAAAAUGUAUCUUAUUAAAAGAUACAUCCAUAUGAAAGGGUAUCUCAUGAAAAGAUACACCUAUUAGAUGUCUAUAUAAAAGAUUUUUCUGUUAGUUAUUUAAAUUGUUUUGCUUGGAGUGUUGAGGGCUUUGUUGUAUCUUGAAGGUAUUUUAAAAUCUUAAAGAAAGUGCUCUACACACCUUAAAGUCAUUAUAUUUUAUAACAUUAUUUUAUUUUUCUAACUUUUAUUUUCCUAUUAUUUAUUUUUCUAACAGCUAGAAUAUAGGAAAAUUAUUAUGUUUCUAGCUAUAUAUUGAAUACAAGUAUGUUGGUGUUUAGAACUCGAACUUUGAUGGUUGAUCGAGAGAUUUGAAGCAGAAAGAAGAGACGGGAAGUUUUAAGUAGAAAAAUAAUUGAAGACUGGAAUAUAUAAUUGAUUUGCACCUCAACUAUUUAAAUACAAAAGUUCAAGCUAAAAAUAGAAAAAAAAAGUUCUAAAAAUCUGCUAAAAAUCUGGUAACAAAAUAGCAAACAAAUCAAAAAUCUAAUCUCCUAAAGUCAAGGAGAAUUAUUCAAACUUAGUAACAGAAAAAAUUUAAAUGGCAGCAAUCUUAAACACAUGAUCUUAACACUCCUCCUUGUUUAGAUGCUACAAACUCCAAGUUUCUUCCUGAAGCUUUCAAACUUGCUAAGUGGCAAUGGUUUGGUGAAGAUAUCUGCAAUUUGAUCUUCAGAUUUGUAGUAACAAAGAGACACAUCACCACUCUUUUAAACUUCUCGAACAAAAAAUAACUUGAUGUUAAAAUGCUUAGUCUUCCCAUGAAAGACUGGAUUGUUAGAGAUUGCAAUGGCAGCCUGGUUAUCAACUAGAAUCUUUGUGCUUUGCUUCUACUCCAUGUUUAGAUCAACAAGAAUCUUCCUUAACCAGAGAGCUUGGUUAACUGUUGCUGUUGCAGCCAUAAAUUCUGCCUCAACAGUGGAUUGAGCUACAGUUUCUUGCUUCUUCGAGCUCCAAGAGAACAUGCCUGAUCCAAGGCAAAAACAAUAACCAGAGGUACUCUUCAUAUCAUCAGUUAAGCCACCCCAAUCACUGUUAGAGAAACCAAUCAACUUCAAUUCCCUAUGCUUUAAAAACUUUACUCCAUAAUUCCAGGUCCCCUUGAUGUAUCUGAUAACUCUUUUUGCAGCUCUCAUGUGAGUCUCAUUGGGACAAUGCAUGAAUCUGGAGAGAAUACUUACAGCAUUCAAGAUGUCGAGUCUGGUUGUUGUUAAGUACAUUAGACAACCUACCAAACUCCUGAACUCAGCUUCAAUGACUUUGGCAGAACCAUCAUCUUUGAUUAGCUUCUCUUUUUGAUUCAUAGGAGUACUCAUUGCUUUGCAAUCUUCCAUAUGGAAUUUUCUAAGUAUCUCCUUUGCAUACUUUCUUUGACAGAUGAACACUUCAUCUUGGCUUUAUUUGAUCUCAAUGCCAAGGAAAUAAGACAUCAGAUCAAGGUCUGUCAUUUCGAAGACAUUAUGCAUUUCCAAUUUAAACUGAUUAACUUGAUCGAUAUUGCUCCUUGUAAUCAAUAAGUACAAAUAAGCAAGCUUUUUCCUUUGAUUUCCUUAUCUUCUUUUCUUUUUGUGCUUUAAUCUGUGCCACAGUAGGAUUUGCUGGAAGAGGUGGGACCUCGUAAUCCUCUUCUACAGGUUCCCAAAGAUCCAAAGCCUCUAUGUAAGUCUCCAUGCGAACUGCCUACAUCUGGUAAUUGUCUCCAUCGAAGACUGGUGGUGCAGCAACUGAAAAACUGGACCCUCCUUCCAUAUUAACACGCAAAUAACCUAACAAAUCCCUCAAGAAAAUAGCUCUGAUACCAAUUUGUUGGUGUUUAGAACUCGAACUUUGAUGGUUGAUCGAGAGAUUUGAAGCAGAAAGAAGAGACGGGAAGUUUUAAGUAGAAAAAUAAUUGAAGACUGGAAUAUAUAAUUGAUUUGCACCUCAACUAUUUAAAUACAAAAGUUCAAGCUAAAAAUAGAAAAAAAAUGUUUUAAAAAUCUGCUAAAAAUCUGGUAACAAAAUAGCAAACAAAUAAAAAAUCUAAUCUCCUAAAAUCAAGAAGAAUUAUUCAAACUUAGUAACAGAAAAAAUUUAAAUGGCAGCAAUCUUAAACCCAUGAUCUUAACAAAGUACUACUUGGAAGCCAACACCCACAAACAUGAUAAAAGUUAAUUUUGAUGAGAGUUUUGACAUGGAAGCAAGAAAUGAGGAAGAGGGUAGUUAUGCAGCAUUGUGAUGAUUUUUUAGUCUGACUAUGCAACCAUCCAAUUUAGGGUGCAUUCUCCAUUGUGGUGAAAAAGCACUUAAAGAACAUUUGGUUUUUGCACUUAAAAUGUGAUGGAAAAAUGUUUUUCCACCCAAAUACAAAAACUAGGAUAUAAAUGUUUUUGACUUUUAGCUUUUAUGUUUGGAAGUGAAAAUUAUCAAAAUAUCAUUAUUUAUAUUAACUAUUUAAAUGGUAUAUAAAAAUUAGAUUAAUUUAUAUUUUAUAUAUCAUUAUAUUAAAUUAUUUAAAUAUUAUUUAUUAUUAUAUAUUUUAAUAAUUUAUAUAUCAUCUAUUUUACAAAUAAUUUAUAUUAAUUACUUAAAAAAUAUUUGGAACUUAUAUUUCAUGUAUCAUUAUAUUAAAUUAUUUAAAUAUCACAUAAUUUAACUAAUUUUUUACUUUCCACUAUCAUGUCUAAAGAAAAGGAUAUUUUAACUUUUAACAAGAAUUUUUUGUAGCAAUGGAGAACACCAAAAAUUAAUAAACACACUUUUUCAUAGUAAUUUUCAACCACACUUUUCAACCGCAACCCUAAUGAAGAAUUAAUCCUUACUAAAGUUACCGAAGCACUAGCUUCCACCGUAGCCAUUGAAAUGGCGCUCCAAUUGGGAUUGCAACACAUUAUUAUUAAAGGAGAUGCUCUCCAAGUGGUUUCGGAGUUGAAGGAAGACAAAGGAGACCUACCAACAACCGGACCUUGAUAGCAAAGAGUUGAAUACUUGCUAAACAGGUUCAGCAAUGUAGGUUUCAACACAGGAAGAGGCAUGCUAAUGAGGUGGCACAUCAUCUGACCAAACAGGGCCUUAAUUGUUUUCCAUCUUUUGUUCAUAUGUUUGUUUUGAAAAGGUAAAACAAAUCCUCACCUAUUGAUGUUAGAACGGUUGAAUUGCUAAAAGCAUGCUGCAUGCAUAACCAUGCUUUAGGUUAGGCUUCAAAUUAAAUAAAUUUUAAAUUAUUUUUAUUUAAAUUUAAUUAUAAAAAUAAAUUAAUAUCAAUAGAAAAUUAUAUAAAAUUUUAAGAUAUUUUAUUUUUCAAUAAUAAAACGAAUCAUUCACCAAACCUAAUUCUUCAAUUUCUUUUUAAUUAGAUCACAACUCAAGCCAAGCUAACCAAUAAACACCCAAAAUCUACCAUCAUUUUCAUUUUCAUUUUUUUUUCUUUUGUGACAAAGUAGACAGAAGAUUCGGUUUGGAUAAGCUCUACGUUAUUAAGUCAAAAGCUGAAGUAAUUUUAAUCAUAAAUUGUUUUAUUUGUCUAUAAUGCAAAACAAUGACCCAGUUAGUACAAUAAAGCUUUAACUUUGUGGAACAUUUCAGUCCAAAAAAAAAAAAAAAAAGAAUUGUGGAAAUUUUAGAGCAGUUGACCAUUUCUUCGGAAUUAGUUUUCUCACUUCUUGUCCAUAUUCCAUGUAUAUUAUUUCAAGAAAUUAGGUUUAGAAAUUUGCAUAAUUCAACCAUUGAACUAAUAAAUAUUAAACAAAAAUUGGGUGGCAAAAAAAAUCUUAUUAAAAUCAUAUACUAUUACUAAAAUUUAUGAUUAAAUUAGUGUCACGAGUUAACGGGACAUUAACAAAUUAUAUUAUUUGAGGGUAUUUUAAUCUUUUUAUUAAAAAAGAUGAUGUCUCAAAUUAACUCACAAUCUAAUCUAAUUUUUCAUUUUAAUAUUGUAAAUAUUUCAUGUUUUAUUAUUAAUUUGUUUCAAAUUAUACAUUUCAUUAUUUAUUUUAUGUUAUUUUUAAACACAUCUGUAUUCUAAGUACCUAAUUUUCACUUAUGGGUAUCAGAGGCGAAUCUAGGGAGGCUGAUAGGGGUCUCGGUCCCCUUAAAAUAGAAAAUUAUUAUUUAAGCCAUUUAGAAAAUUUUAAAAUUUUAAAUUAGUAAAUGUAAAAUUACACUUUGACCCCUCUAAAAUUAUAAAAAUUUGAUUUAAUCCUUUAAAAAUUAUAAAGAUAUAAACUAUUAAAAAUAAAAAUUUCAUUUCGGCCCUGCCUAAAAAAUUUUUUUGACUUCACCCCUAAAGUAUGAUAGAGUUUCUAGUAUGAAUAAUUUUCUUUGGAAGUGUUAAACAAACAAAGGAGUUAAGUAAACAGUAGUUUUCAUACAGAAAUAUUCGGCGUUGAUGUUUCCCUUUCGAAUAAUUAAAUUAAGACUUAGGAAAAGGGAAAACAAUGAAAAAGAAACUAAAAUUGAGCUUAAUUUAUGGAGUUGGGUUAAAAUUUUAAUAUUUAAAUAUAAAAAUUCUAAUAAUUUGAUCUGGUCCGUUUCAUCUAGCAGACUAAUAAUAAAUCUUAAAACAUAUUAUAUUUUAAUUUAAAUAAAACCAAAACUAAUACACUUGACCUACAUCUACAUGUGAUCUAUGCUUCAUUUAAAUUAGUCUAAAUUAGACGAGAUCUUGAUUAGGAGUCAUUUAUUUAUAUUAUAAGUCCCUGAAACAUGCAAAACUUACAUUUAAAAAUUAAUAUUUUUACGUUGUUGUUAGAAUAUAGGGUUUGUUAAUGUUUUCGUGUGAAGUCAGCUGUUGACAUUACCAAUCAGAUAAUGAAAAGGAAACAUGGCAAUUAUUCCAUCCUAAUUGUCACCAAAUUAAGUUAAUCCAAAAAUUACCAAACGUUUAGUACUUCAAUGGUAGAGUCAGCUCUUUCUUCUAGUCUAUCAAAAAAAGUCAAUUUAACCCCUAACUCUUGGAUGGAAAAGUUUUUGCUAUGAACUUGUUGAAGUGAAUCUCAUGUGAUAUAAACGCAUCGCAAUCUCCGUGUGUAACUAAAAAUAUUUGAGAGAUUGAAUAAUUUAAAGGGGAAAAAAAAAGAAUUUACUCCCUCCACUAACAAAUUACUCUUGCCAACGUAUGUAUGAAAGUAAACACCUUUAAUUAAUCAACAAAUGCUAAAGUUCGAGGUUUAGAAUUAAUUAAAUACCAAUAUAAAUAGUUAAUUACUUUUUUGAAAUAAGGAUAAAUCAGUUUGUGAGGUUUGAAUUUUUUGUAUCUUAACAAUUGUUCUGACUUUAGAGUUUGAAGGUUUUUUUUUUAUCCAAAUUAACCUAUGAACUUAGUAAUUUGUCUCUCAUUAAGGUUUAAAUUUUUUAUUUAUCUAAGUUAAUUCUUAAAAAUCUUGAAAUUCGAGAAUAAUUGUCAAGUUAAAAAAAUUUAGAUUUCAAUAUGAGAAUAAUCUACUAGUUCGUAACCUUAAUAUAAAAACAAUUGUUAAGUUGAAAACUUAAUUUAAAAACAAAUUCAAACCCUUCUUAAGUUUACGAUUUAACCCUUUGAAAUAUUGCGUUAACUAGUAAGAGUAAGAAUUAUUUUGUGUUGAUGAUUAAAUAAAUAUUUAAGUGGAGAUCAAGUUUUACCUCAUUUGUCAAUUGUCAGGUGAAGAAUAUAUACCCCUAAAGGCCUAUCAAAAACGGACCUAUCUCUAUCUAUAUAUCUUAACUAAUUUACUAUUCAUUUUUAAUGAAAAUCAAUAAAUCAAUGAAAACGUUAUAAAAAGAAAACUACGUGAAUAAAUUAUAUGUGUAAAAUUGAAAUAUUUCUUAUUUUAGUACAAUGGUAAGGAACAUUACAUUUUUAAGGAAAUGAUGUCAGGUUCAAACCUUAAAGAUAAUAUUCUUCUUCUUGAGAAGAACAAUCCCAAACUCCAAAAUGAACCCUUAUGAAUUAUAUAAAAAAAUUUUGAAAUAUUUCUAUAAAAUAUCAUUAAAGUUUUUUAUUUAAAAAAUGUUAUGGGUAUACUUUUACCUCUUGUAAAAAAGUCUUUCAUUUCUCAAUUCUUAUGGCAUAGUAAAUUUAUCAUUAAUUUUCAUCUUUAGGUAAAAAAAAUGGUUAUUAUUUGUGUAUUAAAUAAUUGUUAGGAUAAAUUUUAAAAUUGUAUAUGAAUUUUGGUUUAAUGUUAAUUAUAUACAUUAAUUUUAAUUUUAUGUAAUUUUAUAAAUGAAAUUUUAAUUUGAUCCAAUUCUAACAAAUUAUUAACACAGUUAUUGAUAUAACAUCAUUUUAUGUUUAUAUGCUAUAUACAGAAAUAAUUAUGUUUAUUCAAUAUAAAAAUAAAUUGAUGUAUUUAUUUCUUUAAACAUAUAUGAUUGAAUCAAAAUUAAAACAUCGUGUAUAUAUUUGAACCACAAUUAAAAUUUUACAUAUAAAAUUACAUAAAAUUACAAUUUAUAUACGUAAUAAACUAAAAUUCAUAUAUAAUUUUAAGAUUUAUGUCCACAAUUCUCUAAAGCUAAACGGUGAUGAUUACCAUGGAAAUUCAAUGUACUUAACUAAUUGGUUGAUAGGAACAGGCAUGAUGAAAUCCAUGAUGGGAAGAGAGAGAAUUCAAAAACUGGAAUGCCCCCAUUAAUCCAUGCAAAUAAACUUUUUCGGUAUUACAUCAUAAUUCAUUUAAUUUUAUCAUCAUCUCUAUGCCAUAACCAUGUUUAAAGUAAAAUACUUAUAUAAAUUGAGACAUUAAUAGUUUGUAUUAUAUAAAUUAUGACAUCCAUAUAUCCAUAUUAUAAUUUUUAUGAAAAAUUAGAGCUGGCAGAUAAAAAAUGGCUUACUGAUCAAUGAAAAAUAAACUUUAUUUCUUGUAAAUUGACUUAUCCUUUUAAAAAGUAUAAAUAUUUUUUUAAAAUUCAUUUAUGAGUAAUUUUAUUAUUAUAAAAAUUAAUUUUGCAAAGUCUAAUAUUAUUAUAUUAAUAAUUUUAUUUUAAAACUAUUUAAAAAUACUAAUAUCAAAUAUUAUAAUGUUGAAUCCUAGUAACAUACAUAUUAAAUUAUUUAAAUUAUGUAAUAUUGCAAUUUUAUUUUAAUACUAAAUUUUAACAACAAUAAUUUUAAAUUUUAGAUCAUAUUUUUAAUAUAUUAUUGAAAAAUAUUUAUAUUAAUAUUUUAAUAAUAAAUAUAUAUAUUAAAAUUUAUAAAUAUUUAAUAAUAAAUGUUUUAUAGUAUAAAAUAUGAAUAUUUUAAUUAUAUAGAUAUGAGCAUUUGUUUAAAUCAUGUUUAGUUUCAUUUAUCUCCCAACUAUAAUGUGUUAUUAUACACCGUCAUAUAUAUAAUAUAUGUAAUUUAAGCAUUGUUUAUUAUUAAAUUUAUAUAUGAUAUUAAUUAUUAUAAAAUAUUAUCUUAUUAUAAAAGAAAUUCUAAUUAUCAAAAAGAAAUGUUACUUUAAUAUUUUGUAACAAGUAUAUUUAUGUUGGGCUUGUUUCAAUAAUAACUUUAAAAUGAUUUUAGAAAAAAAAUUGUCAAAUAAUAAAAAAAUAUUUUAAGCAAAAUAAUUCAAACACAAAAAACUAUCAACUUUUCCAUAAAAUCAAUCCAAUUUUAAGAAAACAUUUUGUGAAAAUUGUUUUAGGUAAAACAAAAGGAACCUAUAUUUUAUAUAGUAUUUGAAAAGUUGUUGUAUCUAGAAUUAUUAUCUUAAAUAUUUUUUUAGGUCUAAUUUUAAAUUUCAUCCCUUUAUGAAAAUUGAGAAGUUAAAUUUUCUAUUUUACUUUAUCAGUCUGUGCUUGAUUGUUUAUUAAUUUGUCGUGUAUAAAUGGUUAAAUUAUUGAUUUUUGUUAAUUACUAGCAUGUAAAUUGUCAAACUACUUGUUCUCAAGGGAACGGUAAAGUUUAAUAGUAUUAUCAAUUUAGAACAAUUUUUGAGUUUUUUCUUUUAUUUUUCAUGUUCGAGUCCAUAAUUACUCCUUCUAAUAAUGUCGUCUUUAAAGUUUGAGUUCGAAUUCAAAUUCUCUUUUUGGAAGUACAAUAUGCCUUAUAAUUAUACCUAAUACUUUUGAUUUUUGUAAAAUAUAAGAAUCAAAAUUGUGUAGUAGGAUUAAUUUCUAGAUUUUUUAAAUUUAAAAUUUAUAAUAUUAUCAAUCGCAUCACACACAAAACCAAAGAACAAGAGAAUCUAAAAAACACGUGGACCAUUAAUUUAGGAAUGGACAUUAUAUUUUAUUAGUGGAAUAAACUCAUGCAAAAUGGUUGGAAAACACAUACAGGAUUAUAUAUACUAAUCAUUUUUAUUAUUAAGCAGAAUCGGAAAUAAAUAAAUACGAGCGAAACCACUGAAUAAUACAGCAUUGAAAUGCAAUUUGUCUACAUCAUUAUUGUUCUUCACUUCAAACGCGGAGACUAGUCUAGGCUCCCAAUCUUUUGCUUUAUCUCUCUAGAUAUAUCCUUUUCAAACUAUCUUUUUGUAGCUUUAUUUGCAUCACAGCAUUAUCUUUUCCUGCAAACAACUGUUCAAUGAUUAAAACAUGCAAAACAUUCUGAAAUAAUGCACCCUUACCAGAUGACAAAAAAAAAAAAAGAUUCUAAUGUAUCUUACCUUGGAUUGGAGCACGGUCAAAGCCGUGGCUUAGUAGUGGUGAGGAGGAGGGGGUGAAGCGUAGACAUAAUGGGGUGGUGGUGGUGGAGGAGACUUGUAUUUGUAAACUGGAGGAGGAGGUGGUGGAGACUUGUACUUGUAAGGGUGCUUGGGGGGUGAUGGUGGGGGUGGUGGGGGUGACUUGUACUUGUAGGGGUGCUUGGGUGGUGACGGUGGGGGUGGGGACUUGUACUUGUAAGGAUGCUUGGGGGGUGAUGGUGGUGGUGGUGGAGGUGACUUGUACUUGUAGGGGUGCUUGGGUGGUGACGGUGGGGGUGGGGACUUGUACUUGUAAGGGUGCUUGGGUGGUGACGGUGGUGGUGGUGGGGGGGACUUGUACUUGUAGGGAUGCUUUGGUGGGGAUGGUGGUGGUGGUGGUGGGGACUUGUACUUGUAGGGAUGCUUAGGUGGUGAUGGUGGUGGUGGUGGAGACUUGUAUUUGUAAGGAUGCUUUGGUGGUGAUGGUGGUGGAGGUGGUGGGGACUUGUACUUGUAAGGGUGCUUGGGUGGUGAUGGAGGUGGAGGUGGUGGAGACUUAUACUUGUAAACUGGAGGUGGUGGGGGUGGAGACUUGUACUUGUAAGGGUGCUUGGGUGGUGACGGAGGUGGAGGUGGUGGAGACUUAUACUUGUAAACUGGAGGUGGUGGGGGUGGAGACUUGUACUUGUAAGGGUGCUUGGGUGGUGAUGGUGGGGGUGGGGGUGGCGACUUGUACUUGUAGGGGUGUUUAGGUGGUGAUGGUGGUGGUGGUGGUGGUGGUGGGGACUUGUACUUGUAAGGAUGCUUGGGUGGUGAUGGUGGUGGAGGAGACUUGUACUUGUAAGGAUGCUUGGGUGGUGAUGGUGGUGGAGGUGGUGGAGACUUAUACUUGUAAACAGGAGUUGGUGGGGGAGGAGAUUUGUACUUGUAAGGUUUCUUGUGUG
rnacentral:lncRNA from 1 species